UCCCCUGUUCGAUAGCCUUUUUUUACAUCUCAUCUCCCUUACAUCUGAAUAAAUGUAUGUGCCAGACCGUCCCCGUUUCGUUGCCUAUACUGCAUACUCUGCUGUGCUGCCGGUACAGUAUACGGCCGUAAUCUUGUCACAGUGAUUGUAAUCAAGAGUGCGUUUCUUCAUGCAAUAUAUUGACGUGUUCCUUUUUUUUGCCGAGGAUUCGUGUACCAAUCUUAUCUUGAACAUCCAAAAGGAAAACAUGAAAAACGUAGCAGGAGUUUCUGAAGGAUAUCAUUUCGUGUAGGAAAUGUUUCUUUGCUACAGUUUGGAACAGCGGAAUUACCAUCUUACUUUCCUUUGAAAUUCCCUGUGGAAUGGGCUACUCCAUGGGAACUUUGGAGGAAACCAAAUGAAUCCUUGUGUUUACAAUGGUUUGUCUUGCGAUUGAAGAAGACCACAAUUAAGUGCCAAACGUAGGUGCCAUGACCGCAUAACACGAGAUGUUUGCAGAAGCGGAACAUACAUCCAGCAACGGCAAGCGCAUCACAUCACAUCAGUUAUUGCUUCAUCAUUUUUAUUCAAACCUUGCCAGUCUCAUCACUGCAAUGCAGAUCACGCACACACAACCACGGGGCGCUUACACAUAACACCAUCACAGGUAACUCUACUUGCCAUUGGAGAGACCGGCCUUCCAGAGGAUGGUGGUCUCGGCGAUCAUGGAGGUGACGACGUAGGGAUCCAUGUUGGACGCCGGCCUCCGGUCCUCGAAGUAGCCCCUGCCUUCCUUCUCGGUGUCGCGCCCCACCCGCACCGACGCGCCGCGGUUUGCCACGCCCUGGAAGAAACAAGAAAAACAAACAAUGUAGACGGAAAAGCAGUAAGAAGAGAGCAAUGGUGACGCUCUUGUCUCAAGUCUCAACUCGCCGUAUUACUUACCCAUACGAAGGUGUUGAUGUCGGCGGUCUCGUGGCGGCCGGUGAGCCGGCGCUCGUUGCCUUCCCCGUAGGCGGCUAUGUGCUCCGUGUGCCGCGCCUCGAGCUUCUUGAUCGCCCUCUUGAUCACCUCGUACCCGCCCUCGCUCCUCAUCGACUUGGUGCUGCAUUCAGACAUCAUCAGGAUCAUGCCAUGACCCAUAGCACAAGAGUAGCGAUGCAUUAGUUUCGCUUGCUCUUUAGAUUACCUGUAGUUUGUGUGGGCACCGGCACCGUUCCACUCUCCCUGCAAUCACAAACAUGUAAGAAAUGGCUAGCUGGCCAGUGCAGAUCAAGUUGAGAAUUUUGGUACAACAAGAUGAAGAAAUGCUCACCGGGAUCGGUUUGGGGUCGAAGGAGACGACGACGCCGGCGAUCUCAGUGAUCCUCUGUUGGGUCACACACAAAACAAAGAUGUUCUUAUCAGCAAAAGUUGCAUUUGAUUUGAUUCAUUCAACUAGACGAGGCAGUUUUACAAUUUACCUCGAGAAUGUAGCGAGCCGCCCAGAGCUCGUCGCCGGCGGAGAUGCCGACGGAAGGGCCGACUUGGAACUCCCACUGGUUGGUUCAGACAGAAGAUCAUCAGCCCAUGAGCAUAUUUUUUCAUGGACAAAGGGGCAUCCAAAUAUGUGAAUGUGAUCCUGCGCCUGAACCUGAAAUUACCUGCCCUGGCAUGACUUCUGCAUUGAUGCCGCCGAUGUUGAUGCCGGCGUAGAGGCAGGCCUUGUAGUGGGCGUCGACGAUGUCGCGCCCGUAAGAUUUCUCCGCACCCGCGGCGCAGUAGUAAGGCCCCUGCCACGCACAUUUCAUCGUUCAUCACUUUACUGAAGUAUGAUGGGCAAGCAUUUUUGACAGCAAGUAAUUAGCUGAAUUUUAGCAUUUGCAACUGAAAUGCUGAGUAUUGAACAUAUCUAUAGUUACCUGAGGGCCAGGGUAACCCCCUAGUGGCCAGCCAAUGGGCCAGUUGGUGUCCUUCUGGAGAAGGGUGUACUCCUGCUCAAUCCCAUACCUAUAUUUCAGGCAACAUAAGAGAGGGGGUACAAGAUUAAUUGCCACAUAAAUUAUGUGCAAAGUUAAUUACUUGACUAAUUUCUAUAGAACGGAGCAACUGAUACUGACCAUGGUUCUUCAGACUUGACAUCAGGAUGGCCGAAUAUCCUCGCCGCGUUGUACCGCUUGUUGCUCGGAAUCGGCUCUCCGGUAGGCGCAUAGCAGUCACAGAUGACCUAAAAUUUACCAUAGGUGAAAAAACAGUCUGGCAUUCAUGAACAAAUUCCAAAGCUGAUUCACGCAGACAAAAUAAAAUAACAAUACAAAACUCAUGCCAUAACCUUUGUGUGUAUAUAUAUAUCGUAUUUAUGAAUGAAAAAACAGAGAGGAGGAUCCUGAAUUUACCAGGAUGUUGUUCCCUUUCCUGAACGGGUCCCUGAAGAUGGCUUGGGGUCUUGGCAGAAGCAAAAAACAUGGAGUUCAAAUCAGUUUGACCUCAGGCCCAAGGCACGCAAGCCAAGGCAGGGGUUGAUUGAAGAGUGCAACCAAGAAGAAGUGCCGGAGGAUUAUCCUCAAGAAAAAAGGAAAAAAGGUAGUACCGGAGGAUGACUUCGCUGUCGUCGCCCGUGGCUUGGCCGGUGCUGGAGCCGUCGAAAUUCCACUUUGGAAGCUUGCUGGGGUCGUCCACGGGUCCGGGAAGCGUCUGAUUUGUGAACGUCCAAGGGAUCCAAAGGGGCAGAAAAAGUGUUAGGAACUUGCUACUACUACUUGCAAUGUAUUUUUUUAGAGUGAUGGUGAUUCUCUUUAGGGUAAGGAUUAAAUGGAUGAUUAUGAGGGUGGGAGGAACUCGGCCUACCCUGGCUUUGCUCCUGACGUCCAUCCCGGUGCCGCCGACCCUGAGUUAGGCAAAGCGUAAAUGUGAGCAGAUUUUUCUUGUUUUUGUUCUGAGGGAGUAAAUGUGCGCAGAUUAGUAAUGGCUUUUUUCUUCCUCUUUUGGAAAAUGGAUGCUGAUCGGUGCUAUUGCUUCUGUAACUUAUCAUCAAGACGUGAAGAAGGUGAAGACAGGGGUUUUUACUUGGCUCAAAUCUGAGAAACCCAACCAGAAGGAAAUUUCAGAUGGGAUUUGUGGGGAGGAGGAAUAAUCUGUGGCAUGCCUAACUCGGGAUAAGAACUAGAGAUUUCAAGAAGCGGAAAAGAAAAGGAUGAAGUGGAUUUUGGUGUGAACUGUGAAGGAAGGUGAGAUGGGAGGUUGGGACAGUGGUGAGGGAGGCGGAGGAAGAGGAAGCCGAGCGGUGUUACCAUAUGUACUCGGCGAUGAUCUUGCCGGUGCAGCCGGACAGGUCGAGGCUGAGAAGGUCGGCGAGCCGAGACAUGGCGAGCUACCCCUCCUCCUCCUCCUUCUUCUUCUUCUUCUUCUUCUUCUUCCUCCUCCUCUUCUUCUUCUUCUUCCCCGGAGACGGAGCCUGAGCCGGAGAGGGAGGGGGAGAGCAGGCGGAGGAGGAGGGAGAGGUGUUCUUGUGGGAGGCAAAUGGUGGCUAGCUCUCUUGGAAAUGCGGGGGGAGGAGGAGGGGCGAGUGGGGGUGGUGUCGCCGUAGCUGGCUCUGCCCCUCUAUAAGUAGGUAGGAAGGGAGCAGGGUGGUGACGGGGCCCCCGAAAGGUUGGUGGGCGUUGCGGCCGGGCUGCGUACGUACGGCUGUCCCUCCGCGCGUACGUUUCCGCGGCCCGCGCGCACGCAACGCCUUUUCCACUGCACCACUGCACCGGACGCGAGCGCACUCGACCGGUCGGGUUUCCUCCCUGUCAUGUGAUGUGAUGUGAUGUGAUGAUCCCGAUCCCAUGCGUACGCACGACCGCGCUUCGCCGAUCCGCGCACCACCCACCUGUUUCUUUUUAACACGCUACGUAUGCAAGAGUUAAUGUACACGCGUAUAUAUUCUUCGUUGCAAACGCGCACGUACACAUCCUAUUUUUACGAGCAUUUAAGAAAAACUGAAUCAACAUUCUUUUUUUUGUUUGCGGGGUAACUGAAUCAACAUUCUAUUUUAAGUUUUGUUAAGUUAUCGUAGACGGCUCGUCGUCGAUGAAAACGUCUUUUUUCAUUAAUAAAAGAACUAAAUAACACACUACAUAUGCAAGAGUUAAUAUACACGCGUAUAUAUUCGUCCUUGCAAACGCAUACGUACAUAUUGUAUUCCUAUGAGUAUCUAAAAAAAAACUGAAUCAACAUAUCAUUUUGAGAUUUACGAAUUUAUCGUAGACGACUCGUUGUUGAUGACAACAUCUUCUUUCAUAAUACUUCCUUUGUCAUAGUUUAUAAGGCAUGCACGUGUAUCUAGGUCGUCAAUUUGACCAACUUAAUGCGAGACAUAUAUUACGAAAAAUAUAUCAUUAGAAACUUUAGAUGUUCUAUUUUUUAAUGAUAUUAUUUUUAUGUUAAAUAAUAUAUUUUAUAUAAGUCAAAUUGACGACCUAGAUACACNNNNNNNNNNAAUGUUAAAAUAAAUUCAGUAAUAAUGCAAGCAUCAAGACAUGGCCCCAUCGUGCUCGUGUUCUGCUGUGCGAGAUUACCUAACAAUUAAUUAAAAAAGGUGUCUAUUCCUUCGGUCGGGGAAGGGGAAAUUGGGUACGGGGAAGGGGAAAAGCGAUGGACUUUGAGACGACGACCUUCUUGCUUUGCCUUGCUUAUGCAUGAAGCAGCUGGCUAGUGGUGAAGGACGAAUUGACCUUCUCUUGUCCCGGCGUACGUCCGUGCAGUGCGAAUCCGGGUGGACUACUGGCUCACUGACCCGACGGAUCUUCCCGACCGGUCGAAGCUAGAUGGUGGCAUGACAUGAGUGAGACGUGAGUGACGUGUACUCCGUACUGUAGUACAGUAUGUAGGAAAGCGACUACUGUGUGCUACCUACCUGUUGUGCCUGCCGUGUCACCAUCCCCCUCGUGCCAUCGCUGCCUCGUGGCGGGUCUUCAGGCAUCUCCAAUUCCCUUCAUCCGGCCUAUGUCAAUGCUAUUUCUUAGCAGCAUUUUGCUGACGUGACAUGCUAGUUAAUUAAAAAAAAAAGUUGUAUGUUAGUAACAUAUAACCCUUGCAUAUGGAUAUAGGUAAAAAAUGAUUCUAGCCCAAUCAUAUGCAUGCGUUACCCUAAAUUAUUAAAUGUAGAUGGAACUCAUAAGAAACAAUGCAUUGACAUGGUUGUAUCUUGAUUUAUUAAUGCUCAUAUGAUAACGUGAUAAGGGACGAUGCGUUGACACAUGCCUCAAAACGCCGCCACAUGUCUAGAGCCCGGAUGUUUUUUGUCAUUCAAUCUUAUGCAUCAAAUGCUGGAGAAGGUUUGCGGACAUCGAGACAACUGCCACGUAGGCGUCAGACACUUUGGGUUCCUACAAAAAAUCUACCAGGAGCCCUUUUUUUCUCGCUUCGCUCCUCCGCCCUCCGCGUAAACCGAUCGCCAUAGUUGCGGUGCGAGGAUAAGAAGUCUGUGAUGUCAUUUUAAAUCUGUGAUGUCAAAUACAUGUAUUUUCAUUAAAUUUAUAAACAAAUAUACAUGAUUUUUACUUGUGUACAAAGAAUUCGUCAAAAAUCUGUGUGGUCAGUUGACCACAUUCCUCUCAACGCGGCUUCGCCACUGGAUCGUCAUCGACGUUGCCUAGUCCUUGCCGAACAUCCGCCGCUUUACCCAGGCGCCAGCCCCGACUUGCCUACACCCCCUCCACCUCUGGCUUGGCCACCGCACAGGUAACGCCCGCAUGUGAACGUUGUUGUCCAUGAUGGACACCACGCCCGACAAGUGUCCGGCUAAAUGUCAUUACCAAAUUUAUUGAUAUUUUUGUUGUUUAGUUUGGAGCAAACACGAUGAAUUUGGUCGUAGAGUACUUCGACGCCGAGUUCAUGGAAUCAGCCUCGUCGGAUAUGACGAUUUCGAGGAUGAAACGACGAUGAUGCAAGCGGUUAUUGAAUAUGCGUAACAUGCAGUGGAUCAUGCACUCAAUUUCAAGGGAUCGGUCAAGGGACAUCAAUUGUUGAAUCGACAUAGGGCACGGGGCAUAUGAUGCCGAUGAACGACUAUUUUUGUCCCUAAUGAGCUAUUUGAGACAUUUUCCACCGUCUAUUCCGAAUGAGCUGAACUGUGUUCGACUGCCUAUAUAAUGAUGUAUGUGCCUAUGAUGACCACAUCAUCUUCAAGAAGGAUGCCAUUGGAAACAGUGGAUUCUCUAGUUACUAAAAGUGCAAUUGCAUUGAGGAUGCUUGUCUAUGGCACGCCAUGAGAUUCGUGGGACAAGUACCUCCGGAUGUUAGAAACCACAUGUCUUGAUUCCAUGGCCAGGUUUGCUACUGCCAGGACAAGGUGUUUGGUCACGAGUACUUGAGAGAGUCAACUGCUGAAGACACCGCACUCGGCUCAUGAGACUAUCGAAAGGAAGAGGAUGGCGAGGUAUGCUCGGAUCCCUAGAUUGCAUGCAUUGGCAAUGGAAGACUCACCCAUAUGAUCUGCAAGGGCAAUACUAGGGACAUUGCAAGAAGUCCACAUGACUCUUGAAGUAGUUGCAUCACAAGUCAUCUGGAUUUGGCACUCUUUCUUUGGGAUGUCUGUGUCUCACAAUGACAUCAAUCAGCUGCAGCGGUCUCUAUUAUUUGCAAGGUUGUUUGCGAGAGAACCUCCUCUAUGUAACUAUACCAUCAAUGGUUAUGAUUACAACAUGGACUACUAUUUUUGGGAUGGUAUUUAUCCUUUGUGUGUAUCCUUCAUCAAGACCAUCUCUGAUCCAAAGGGUGAGAAAAUAUCUCACUUUUUUCCAAAAACAAUAAGGAGAUGGAAAGGAUGUCGAGAGGGCAUUUGGAGUGUCCCAAGCCCGUAUGCAGUUGUUCGAGGACAUGUAAAAAUAUGGGAUCCAUAUACGUUACGGGAGGUGAUUAAAACUUGUGUAAUCAUGCACAACAUGACUGUAGAGGACCAGGAUGGCGGAGUUUGCCACGGUUUGGAAUUUGAGCCCAUGGGUGAUCCUAUCCAACUUCCAAAGCAAAAACCGAUGAUGUUUGAGGAUUUUAUCAAAAUGCAUCAACAAAUUCACCAUCAAGCAACUCAUGAGCAGGUUUGAAAUUAUUUGGUUGAACAUUUGUGGGUGCUUCGAGGGGAGAACUAAUAAUGUGUCCAAAUAAGUUCAAUUCACAUUUGAAUCACUUUAUUGAAUUUUUUUAUGCUUGGAUUGUAAUACUUAUAUUUGAAUUAUUAUUGCAUUUGAAUGUUUGCACAACAUGACUAUGGAUGAAGGAUGAAGUGGUAUGGAUAAAAAAAGAGUCACACUUGGUGCAUAGGUUGAAUGGCCGCCCUUAUCUCCUAUCCGCGGACACGUCCGGAUCCGUUCACGAAUAUUUGGGAUGUCCGUUUUGAUGAGCAACAUUGGAGAUGCCUUUAGCUCGGUCGGUUGAUAAGAUUUCUUCAAAUAAGAGAAAGAUGAAAAGUAAAAUAAUACCCCCUCUAUUUCAUUUUUUGAAGCUUUAGCUUUGUCCCAAGUCAAACUUCUAUAAUCUUUGACCAACUUUAUAAAAAGAAUUGCUAAUACCUACGCCAUCAAAUAUACAUAGUAUAAAAAUAUAUCUUAUGAUGGAUCUAAUGAAGCUAUUUUGGUAUUGUAGAUACUUGUAUAUUUCCCUAUAAGUUCGGUCAAACUUAAGGAGGAUUGACAUAGGAAAAACCUAGAACUUCAAACAUUUUUAAACCGAGGGAGUUAGAUGCACUAACCACUCUAACAAUUAUGAGUUUUCUACAAAGUCUCACCUAAUACUUAGAACUCUAAGAAAAUGGACAAAAUCCUAAGGAAUAUAGCAUCUAAAUGAAUACAUAGGAAACUAUCCGUGUGUGAAAUAUCUACAAGGGUACUUAAACAAUCCUCCUAACCGAAUGAGCAGUUUUAGAUGAUAUUUUAUCUCAAUUUUAAACCUCUAUAGAAACACCUACUCUGAAUCUCCCUCUUUCCAGUUUAUGUGUAGCUUUGCAAAUAUGAACCCCAUUUCAACUCUAAUUUUAUAUCAUAAACAUUCACUUUCUAUGUUUCUACCACAUAUUAUUCAACAACAUUUUCAUAGUUAUAAAUGUUCAAAUUCAAAAUCACAUGAAAGUUAUGUUAUAAAUGAGCCGAAAUAAGCGUCACAUCAUAUCAAAUAGUUUGUCAUUACGCCAAAUAAUUGAUCGUGUGAUCAAACAUCAUCUGAAUGAAAAGCUCAUGAAAAAGGAAAUUCCAUUUAUAUUUCUCAAACACAAUGAGCAUCACACACCACCACCGCCAUUGCUACUCACCAAAGUCUGAACUCCUCCAAAGUUUUUUAUUAUACCUCCUACACAUACUUAUUAAUUUUGGUGCAAUUAAGGUCAUGCCAACUACCAAUUUCUACCCAACUCUCCAAAAAUAUAUAAGUGAAGCAUAAAGAGUUUAAAAUAUUUCUUUUUGGACUACAUGCUCUAAAAUACAUAAGUAAAGCAAUAGAGAAAUUAUGAUGACGCUAGAUAAGCUCUCCCAGGUAAUGGUGCUCUGGUGUGGUGAUUACAAUGAUUAAUAAUCGAAAUAAACAUACGCUCCUAGAACAACACAUAAUUGUAAAAGAGCAAAAAUGUAGGUCCAACCGAUAUAAAUUGAUACUUAUUCAAAAGGGGUAUGCCUCGGGCAUCCCCAAGCUUACCAGCUUGUGAUCUCUUGAAAUAUUUCUUGUGUGUGCCUUGGGCAUCCCCAAGCUUGAGCGGUUGCAUCUCCUGAUUUCUCUUAUAUCCACACAAAACUUAUCUAUAAUUCGUGAGAUAGGUUAGUAUGAAGAACACCUCAAUCUGAUUAUGCCUUCUUAUAGACUAAUUAUAAAGUUGCAACCCAUCAUUAGCAACUGUAUUAUAACACAAUCUUAGAAUCUCACACCCCUAUGGGAACAAUAAAAUGCAAACAUAAGUAACUAAAGAUAAUCAUUAAAAAAAUAUGUCUAAAACAAGUAGUAUGUAAAUAUGAAAAGUUCAAUCCACACUUUUGUAAAUAAUAAAAUUCCAAUAAAUCAACACGUAGCAUAUAAUUAAUAUAGGUAUUGUGCAAUUUUUCUUGUGCUUUCAGCAUGCUCUAUUAAUUCUCUAUGAAAUAAAAAACAACAAUCAAACUUUCUAUUUUAGCACAACAACACGUACAGUGUUAAUCUUAACAUGCUAAAGGUAAUUAUGGGCUUUUAUUAAAGAAGAUUAAAAUAAAAAGGUUGUUACAUAAGGUUAAAACUGUAUUGAAAAAUACUAUAUGUUUUUCCCCGUAAGCACUUUAUUUACAACCAUGUUAGUUAGGCUUGCAGUUUUAAUGUUGCUCACAUGAACGCAUGAAUUGUAGCAUAUAACAGAGUGCAAAAUAGCUUAUAUCAAACACAUUUAAGUUUGACCCACUUCUUAUGCAUAAGCAUCUAAUAAGUAAACAAUUUAGUGAGACAAAAGAUCCCUAGCAUUGGCAAGAUAUAGGAAUGCCAAUUCAAAUAUUUCAACAUAAAGAGAGGUGAUUUAGUAACAUGAAUAUUUAUAUUACCCUAUUUUUGUAUAUCAUAAUAAUUACAUGUGGGAUCAUGAUCAAAUUCAACAAUAUAGCUAUCACCUAAGAAAGUUUCCUCAUGAUCCACAUGCACAUAUAUUUUAUCCCUCCAAAACACUGGAGUCAACAGUAACUAAAGUCAUGACCUCUCUAAACAAACUUUUGUCAAUAUUGCAAUAAGAUUGAAAAUUAUUCAAAAUAAGGGGAACAUUACUACCUAUAUGCAUGACCUCUCCAAACCCACAUUCAAAACACCGUAAUCAUUGUGAUCAAAUAAAUAAAUAAAUAUGUUCUUAUUAGUCAUAAAUAAUUCUUCAAUGCCAUAAUAAGUAUCACAUUUAUCUUCCAAAUCAUGAUCAUUGUGAUAGAUAUACCACACUCAUCAUCAAUAGUGACAAUUGACAUAAUUUCAUUAGUUUCGGCAAUAAUUUCAUCAAGUGUGUCACUAAUGUGAGUAACCUGAUCUAAAAUAAUAUCAUUGAAUCGUAUGCAUAGAAAAAUGAAGUUUCAUUUAUUGCGGUGUCAAAAUAGGUGUAAUAUGUAUAUGUGCAAAUAGAAAAAAAAUGAAACGAUGAGUACAGAUCGAAACUCAAGGGCUAAAAAAACGCGCGCGCGCGCGUGUGUGUGUUGGGGGGGGGCGCUCAACUGGCCUAUCGAGAGUUUUAUUUGAGUGUCCGUGUUAGAUAUAAGCUUAAAAGAGUUGGAUCAAAUCUUAUCUAAAAUUUCGCGUUUCCUGCUAAAAGGAGGGAAUAAUUUACUUGCUUGUAUUAAUAAAGCGAGAGUUAAAUGUAAGUUUCAUUGUUGAAGAAGUUUCAUGGUGACGUCAUUCUCUAGCGAGUUUGUUUAGCCCAUAAAUCACCAUGCUUGAAGAAGUUUCAUGGUUACAAAGUAUCAUGAUGACAUCAUUCUCUAGCGAGUUCAUUGAAUCAUACCCAAGUGUAAGGACAACAUGCCUUGACCUAAUAUUUACGAAAUCUAGGUGGGGGCCUUCCCCUCCAAUGUGAUCAUUAAAAGAUAUACAUACCCUGUUGGUAAGGAAAGUAAGUAAUAAUGCUCAUUCCUAUCAAGUUGUUUCUUCAGACACCAAUAAUAAAGUUUCUAAUUUUGUUUUUAGUGUCUUCAUCUAAUAAAACUCUCAAUUAAUAUAAUCAAUUUUUUCCUGCAAGAUCUUCAUCUAACAUCACAUACUUUUCAGCCUCUAGCUAUCCUACUUGCUUUACCUUAUCUAUCUCUUGCCUACAUUGUCUCUUCCGCCACCCACCCCUUGUCAUGUUUUUAUUUUGGUGGAUAUGAUAACCAUGAAUGGAUCAUGACUUGUAUCUAGACUAUCCACCAACUUUGGUACAUCCAUCCAUCCUAAUACCUAACAUUUCUCAUCACCCUUGUCUCUACGACGCCGCUUACCUUGUCGGCAUUGAGUCUGGCUCCAGCUCAUAGCACAACCAGACAACAAAAGCAAGGAUGUAGAAGAAAAGACUAUCAUGAGGAGAAAGAUAUUUGUAAGCAUGCAAAACGACCCACCGAUCAUUCUCAAAUACAUUUUUUCCACCAGGAAUAUUAAGUUUAAGUUUGUAUAGCACCCCACGAUAGGAUCUAGUAGCAUAGCUCAAAUGGCUAGGUUCCUUGUGGUGGAACCAACCCAUGAAGGCUCAAGUUCUAUACUUUGCAUUAGUGCUUACAUUUUUCUGGAUUAGUUCCAGACUUUCCGCCGAUGUUCAUUCAUUGGGAAGUGACAUUCCCGUCGACUAUGACUCACCUGUGGUAACUUCCUUAGUCUCAAGACAUUGUGUUUGCUCAGUAUCUCAGAGGUUCUCAUAGGGGUAGGGUGUGCGUGCAUGCAUUCAUAAGGGUGAGUGCAUGUGCAUGUAUGUGAGCAUCUACUAUUGAUCAUGUUAAGCAAACAUAUGUAUGUAUUGAUACAAAACAUACAUACACUAUUCCAAUACUCCUCUACCUGGAAAUAUAAGAAAUAUUGAAUACUAGAGGACACCUCGUGUGUUAUUGUGGGACUUGGUUGAUGAAAAUUUGGAUCGAUAACAUGAGAGAAACAAAUAAAAGUACAUAAGACUUAUUAUAUUUGAUUGUGUAUAGUUGUACUCAAUUCUAUCCAUAUUAGUUCUUGUUGAAACUAAUGUAUCUAGAUGUAUUUCAGUGCUAGAUACAUCCUUUUAAGCGACAACUAAUUUGGAUUGGAGGGAGUAACAAUAUUUAUUGAAUAUAAGUAGAAUAUAAUUAAGCAAAGAACAUUUUCUCAUGCAUAUGUUGUGGUGGGUCUUUUCUCAUGUAUGAUUGCAUGCUGAGGUGGGCCUGAUCCCAUUCAUAAUUGUAUAGUGAGGUUGCAUAUUUGCAUGUUGAGAUAAAUAAGUUAGUGGGGGUGACUCUCUUAGGUACAUAGCGUUUCAUGUUCUCCAAAGCACAAAUUUUACUAUAGGUUUUCUCAUAGGUGGGCCAAAUAAUAUAUAACAUACAUUAGAUUCACAAGACAAAUAUAUUGAUAUUAUUUUUUCAUCCUCAAACCACAUGUUACGAUCUUUGGAAAUUUGUUCUAGACUCAUAGCGUAAGCGACAUGAUGACCCUAUAUAUCUGAUUGCAUGUAAUGUUGUGGUGGAUAUGAUACUGUUUUUACUGAGAGAGAUAAAUAUGAUGGAUGGUGUUAUUCCUCAGUUAGUCGACAUAGGUGUAUCUUUUGUUUCACAAUUUACAAAUUACAUCAUGCUCAUUUUGGUGUACGACAUGGAAUCCUUAGUCUACAAUUUUUUUAAAAUUGAUAUGCUAUGCUUAUGAGCCACUACCUUCAUUGAAAAACAAAUUACACGGAAGUAAGAUGUAAUGUGUUGGCAUGACUAAGGAAGUUAAAGUCCGAUAUGCACAACUCUUUGGCUCUACUAUUAGUGAAUUCCCUUUGCGUGUCUUUCCAUCUCAUUCAUUAUAGGAAGUUACGAAACAAAAACUAGAAAGCCACGAAAUAUAUAAUAGAUAGGAUAAUUGAGGAGUUGGAAAGGUAUGCACUUAUCCCAUUGGGGGAGACUUGUGCCUAUCAAUUUAGUUAUCACGAGUAUGCCUAUGUUCCCACUUUCCCAUUUUGAAGUGCUACUAGGAGUCCAUAAGCACCUAGACAUUUUUGCUCUAGGUUCUUAAAUAAUCAUAAAAAAUAGACUUGUCAAAUAGGUUAUCAUGUCAAUCUCCAAAGAAUAACGAUGACUCCAUAUUCAUAAUUUAGAGGAGAAUGAGGGUUUAUUGAUAAAAUGGAUCUUUAAGAACGAGGGUGGGUGUUGUAGGACUUUCUCAAAAACAAAUGCUUAUGAGGUAAACCUUUAUUGGGGAAGUCUAGUGUUUGGCAUUUUGGGGAUGGGUGCGUGGAAGUACAAUAAUUGUUGGUACUAUUUAGUUCAUUUCGGGCUAACUGUCUUUGUGUGUGUGUGUGUGUGUGUGCGACCGGGGGGGGUAUUCAGUUUUGGAACACAACCCACUAGGAUAUCAUACAUUCAAGUACCAUUUCCUAGUAUUUUUAAUGUGGCUUUGGUGUAUACGCUCUUGAAUAGCACAUGCCCUAGGUGACGCACAUCUCUUUCCAACAAUCUAUUGGUGGGUCAAAAGUGUGAAAUCUGUCACAUGAGAAGUUUGUUUCUUUGCAUAUUAAUAUAGAUCUUAAUGUCUGAAAAUGUCUUUAAAUGUGGCAUCCAUCAAUCUAGAACAUUUUGAGUUAGCUCUCUAUUUAUAUGGAUUUGGUUACAUCAUGUUUUCAUGUCAUGGUAGAUACAAUUGGGAAUUAUGGAUGCCUUUGAAGGUUAAGAUUUUCUUCUAGUACCGGUCCGAAGGUGAUUUAUUAUGAGAAGUAACCUAACAAUCGAAUUGGAAUGAUAGUAACCUUUAUGUAUUUGUAAUGAGGAGGGAUGCAAUUCAACACAUUUUUCUUGAAUUUAAUUUUGUACAUUUAUAUGAUGAAGAGAUAUCAUUAAAAGUUCAAUGAACCAUGUGCCAGGUCAUGUAUAUAUAUAUUGAGAAUCAACCACUAUAUAGGAUCCCACAUGCUGUACACACAUUUUGUUGUUGUAGGUUUGGUGCACAUAGGUUUGUCAUAAUGACAUUUGAAAGAAGUAGACGACCCAUAAGCAUUAUACCUUCACAUGAAAUUAUUCUAACAGUGUUCCCGCCAUUGCGGGAAAUUACCCAUUGAUAGCCUUUGUAGGAGUUUGAGACGUGUCUUAGUGCUAGCGUGUCUUACCGUCCUCUUACAUCAGCCACUAUUGAUCACGUUGGUAAGCUAUUGCCUCACCAACUAGCUAGUUUCCAAAAUGAUCAUUUUGGUUCUAGACCAACUAAUCUUCGAGGUGCAAAUUAGGGAAUCAUGAUUCCUUGCUACUUCUGAUAGCUCUUGAAGGUUAUGCAGACGCAUUAGCAAAUUCUUAAUGUAUGAUUGAGAUUAGCAAUGGGAUUCUUUGCUACUUCUGAUAGCCUUCCCGUCUGUGAUGAACCUUUUUGAAACUUGCAUGUGAACCCUUAUGACACAUGUAUCUCCUAAAUGACAACCACUAAGUUGUUUUCCAAACUCUUAUGAGUUGACCCUAACACAUGAUCUCACAACACACUAACACUGACACCAUGCACAACAUUGGUUGUUUGUUUGGUUGUAUUGUAUGGUUGUUGACGAAUGCUCUUUACUUACAAUAGAUUGUUACGGAGAGCGAAGUGUGUUGAUCAAGAAUCGUCAAUACACACAAGUGUAACCUUUGAUCAUAACCUAUGUUUUCUUCCAAUUCAGUUUAUUAUCAACUAGGAAUCCCUUAUAGGAUUUUACUUUAUGCUUGUUAGAACCCAGUAAAUUGUUUAGGUCCAUUUCACCGUGACCUUGUAACCCACGAUUAGUUGCUUAGCUGCUUUAACGUGGAUUGGAAACAUCAACUACUAUUACACCAUACAACCGCAUGGUUGAGUAAUGAACUACUACUUUAAUUAAUGAAUCGAUAUGGGUGGACUGGAUUUGGUUGGGUCAUCACAGUGUUGUAUUUGGUGAGAAAUUCCACCCAUGUAUAAGGGAUUGUACGGGUUUAUAAGUUGAUUAGCUUCCAUGUGUAACGGUGAGACAAUUUGGGCUCUGUCGUGACCAAGUAGGUUGUGGGAACCCUCGUGUGACAGACCAAUAGAUGUAUGUAUUGCAUUGUAGGUUGGACCGGGUCUGUCAUUUUUGAGAGGGCGACUACUUCUAAAAAUUCUUAUCUUGAUCUACCUAGCUACUUCACAAAUGAAGUUUAGUCGCAGAAGGGUGUGAUCGGGCAUCACACAUAAAGUACACAAACCACUAGAGAGUGUAUAAAACUGACCAUGAUUAGUCGUGUCCCCGGGUGGAUAACUUUGAGCAACUCACCUGGGAACUAUCAGCUUGAUCUCAUUCACCUCUUCCAUUAAAAUCAAUGGGUUGAACGAAUGGGGAGUUAUGGCGCUGUUCCUUAGAGGAAUAGGAGUGAACUAGGGUAUUUGGAGGGAAGCUUGGGGAUGAAAUGCGAUGCAGAGACCCACACACUCAAAUGUUAUACUUAGGGCUACUGUGUGAUAUGGUAUGUCCAGGAUUACCGUGUGAUACGAUAUAUCCAACUAUUAUAGUAGACCAUAUUUCAAGAUAGGGAAAACUAAAGGAAAACUGAUGACACGAACUUGCAUGUUUAUGUUCCAACAAGCCAAUCCUAGUGAAGUUUGCCAAUACAUCCAAUGUAUUGACCCUUCCGGCUCCAACAUAUCAUGUUGUAGAUUACCAUGAUGAAGGGAAGUUACGGAGUAGGGUUGCGACGGUAUACUCAACUCUUGCGUAUGAGUUGAUGGAUACCACAAGACUAGAUAUUAUUCCACUCCAUGAUUGUCAUGUAAUAUAGCCAUGAGCUAAGCGGGUGUGUAUUGUAAAGCACUGGAUCUUCGAUGUAAAUACUACUCCUUCCACCCGGAAUUACUUGUGACAAAAAUGGAUCUAAAUGGAUGUAUCUAAAACUAAGAUACAUCUAGAUACAUCCAUUCGUAUGUCAAGUAUUUUCGGAUGAAGGGAGUAUUACAUUUGAUGUAUUCUUGGUAUUUCAUUGUCGAUUUUGCAUGUCAGCUAUUGAUCCAGGGACUAACACAGUAAGCAUAGAGAUUCGGGGCCCUGUCACGGACCAGGUCACGAGACCAAUCCUCAACAUAUGGGUGCUACCAAAGUUGCAUGAACUCUCAUGAGAGGAGAUUGACCUAGCAAACUAUAUUUGGAGUGCCACUAGCCUAAUUGCUAUUUUGUGAAGCUAUCUUGAUGUCAUGAUGAGGGCACCCUCAUUGCCAGAGUUUUUAUCCGCAAGCUAUAAAAGCUAGGGUUUGCUAUCCCGCUGAUUCCUACUGACCUAGAGUUUUUCCUUCACCGGUCAUCAUCUCCCCUACCCCGAGACAAACCUCCUUAUUAUGUUGACUAAGGGAGUGUUCUUGCACACCUUAUCGACUAAUGUAGAGGUUGUGAUCCUGGCUUUAGGUACCGGGAAACUUUUUGCGAUCUAGACAACAAUGACAAUUCUCAGCUAGAAUUUAUGCGGUCUCCCACAUGCUGCGACAAUGAGGGCGCUUCUGAAUGUUCAAAAGUGUAAGAAUGCCGACAUCAUGUUCUUCUUGGAAACUCACUUAGAAGAGUAUCCUACUGAAUGUUUACGUCAUAGGUUAAAGAUGGACCACAAGAUAGUUGUCCGGAAUAGUUGUUUGAUUUUGUUGUGGGAAAGGAGGUCUCAUCUCUCUUUGACACAAGACCGAAAAUUGUAUUGAUGAUUUUGUUGAAACUAAGCAAGAGAAGUUUUGGAGGAUCAUUGUAUUCUAUGGGGAGCCCAAGUGGGAGAAUAAACAUCUAACUUGGAGUAGGCUCACAUAUUCAAAAACCUUUUGCAACAUGCCCUAGAAGGUUAUUGUCGAUCUUAAUGAGAUCUUAUAUUCUUUCUAAAAGGAGGGCGGUAAUGAUCGACCGAUUCAUUUCAUGGAAGCUUUCGAGGAUGCUUUGAAGCAAUGUAACCUAUCAGGCCAUGGAUUUGUUUGGCAAAUUCAUGGGUCAUGGGGGUUUGAUUAGGGAAAGGCUUGAUGUGGGCAUUAACCAAUGAAGGUUGAAACUUAAUGUUCCCUAGUGCAAAACCGAAACAUCCAGAUUAUUAUCAUUCUUAUUAUAGAUUUUUGCUAAUAAUUUUGGAGGAAGAAUAAGCCCAUGACACAUGAGGGUUGGCAAUCAUUCAUUUUGAGGCCCGGUGGCUGAGAGAGUCCCAAUUCCUAGAUGUAGUUGAGGAAGAAUGAUAUGCUUCGAAACCAUUCGUUCAAAAUACCAAUUUUACAGGAAGGUUAGUGCUCAUUCAUGAACACCCACAUCAAAGGAAUAAAACAAGACUCAAUAAAUCAUCAAAGAAAAUGAAGAAUGUCUAGAGAGAUCUUGAAAGGGUUACACGAUAUGUGAUACUGAUACUUGUAAACCGCGUUGGGAUUCCCCCAAAGAGCAGGGGGUGAUGCAUCAUACUAGAUGUAAGUAUUUCCCUCAACGAGAACAAAGGUUAUGGAACCAAUAGGAGGACCACAAAAAUUCCCGUCUUCAACACCUACACACAAAAGAGCACACACUUGCACCCAACGUGGGCAAGAGGGUUGGCAAUCCUCUUGUCUUGGGAGAAAGAGUGUGCUCUUUUGUGAAGUGAUCAGGGCGAGAGGCCGUGGGAGGUGGCCCCAAUCCGUCAGGGCUUGGCGCCACUCCGUGUGGCCUCCGUUCUCCCUAUGAAGCUUCCAGGUCUUAGUUAUGUCUAGAAAAAAUCAUCAAAAGGUUUCGUGGUAUUUGGACUUUAUUUAGUACGGUAUUCGUGAAAGGCCAAAAAACAUACAGAUAACAUCAACUGGCACUAUGCACUGGGUUAAUAAGUUAGUGCUCAAAAUAAUAUAAAACAUCAAGUAAAUUCUUAAAAAGUAUCUUGGAAUGAUAAUAUAAUAGCAUGGAACAAUCAAAAUUAUAGGUACGUUGGAGACGUAUAAGCAUCCCCAAGGUUAAUUACUGCUCGUCCUUGAGUAGGUAAAUGAUAAAAACAGUUUUUUUAUGUGACAUGCUACCUAACAUGUAAUAUUUUUUAGGUAUGAUUAUUGAGAAAUGAUGAAUCAACAAACAUCAACAUAGUAAUAUCCAUAAAUCGGAGUGUUGUUUACAUUGUUAGUUACUUGCCCCUUUGCAUGUGUUGGUUUUGCUCCUUGCAUGUGUUUGUAUAUGUUGUUCUUUCAACUUGCUUAUCUUGAGUAAUUAAGUGUGUGUAUCUUGGUUGGCACAUCAUGUACAUGUUAGUCGUGUGUUGAGCCUUUUUGCAUUUUUUUGUAUCUUAGUUCACUCUUCUGAGAGAUUAAUGGAUUAUCCCAUUUUGGGGGAGUGGUGUUCUUUGUGCACUUCACGAUCCUAAAAAUGUGCGUACAUGAGGAAUGCCACUUAGUAUUGAUAUUACAAGAUUAUCUAGCUUCAAUGUGGUAUGUCUUCUGAUGAGAAAUUCAAAUUCUAAAUGGUCCACUAAUUAUCUCUUGUUGGAUUUCACUUGCCACUUGUGAAGAAUUUUGGGUUAUCACAUUAUGGGGGAGUAAUAUGCUAUGUGCAUAUUACAAGCCUAGAAAAUGUGUAAUUUGAGGAAUUGCCACUUCGAGUUUUUAUUGUAAAUUAUCUUGUUCCUAGGUGGCAUGUUAGCUCUACAAGUGUCAUUGGAUUAUGAUUUUCAUGUGAAGAUGAUGUUGGAUAUAUUUGCAAUCUACCAAUGGAAUUUCUUCCAAAUACUUCUUGUCCUUUGACAAUUGGUAUUGUUUUAUGUGGUAGAAAUUGCUAAUCAUCUUUACAUUGGAUUUUGUCUAUCCGUUUGUCUUCCUUGCAUCUUGAGGAUCUUUUUGAGAAUGUCUGGUGUUUCUAAAGAUAUAGGGAAAGUGAUGAUCCCGUAUUGUGCAUUAUGUAUUCAAAUGCAAAUCCUAUAUAAUGCACAUAUCUUGGGGAGCUAUCCUAUCUUAUUAAGAACACUCUCUUAAUUCGUUUAUCAUGAAAUCUUUUGAUCCCUAUCAAGUGCAUGUUGGUGGAAGGCAGCCAUUUUCUUUAUGGUGCUUCGUGCCAUCAUGAAAAUUUGCCGAGGGUUUGGUAUGUUUGGAGCCUAUCUCUCUUUUGGGAACUUGAUACCCCCUUUUUGUUUUCCUUCAAUUGGUAUCUUGUUUCCUUUUCUUUGGCAUGUGUCACUGAAUAUCUCAUUUCUUGAUGUAUCUUUUAAUUGGUAUCCUUCAAGUGAUAACUUUUUGUUUGAUAUCUUAUUUUCACUUAAUACCUUGUCUUUUGGUAUCUUAUCAACUAUGUGCCGAUUUGAUUCUUGAAAGCCUUGAACAUGCAUAUUUACUAUAUCUACUUUCUUUGGCAUGCUUUCUUUCUUUGACCCAAUACAUAGGGGAAACUACACCAUGUCAUAAACUUGCUAAAGUGUGCAUGAAAUUCAAUUUCAUAUCUAUAUGCACAUAUUUAUAUGGAGUUUGUCCUAUGUAUUAUUGGUUCUCUAACUCUUUGGUCCCAAUGAGUUUGGGUACCAAUUUGUUUGUGUUGUUGUUCUAGGAACAAUUGGAGAUGCAUCGGAUGCUUGACUCACUUACAAGGAAGGUGUUGACACCAUGUGCUUAGUGGAGCCAAGCUAGGAUGACCGAUGAACCAUUAUCUACAACAUCAAUCCAAUGCUAUCUCGGUAACAAGUAUUUACUUCAUGCAUAAAUUUCUUGCUUUCAACCUUUUGUAGGUUGAAUCGUAGCAUGAAUUUCUUGAUUCAUUCUUGUGGUGCUUGUUUACUUUCUCAAAGCAUCUCAACGAUGAUCUAUUGUGGCUAUUUGUGAUGUCUUUGAUGGUUGUGUGUUGGAAGUUCAUUUAUUUGCAAUUAGAAAAUAUUAGUCCAUGUGCUAUGCUUUCAAGCAAAGAUCUUAUUGGUAUGUUUAUGACUUCCUUUUGGAUAUCUUGUUUCCUCCUUCUUGUAACUAUUUCGCGUGUCAUCCUUCUUUGUGGAUGUAUAUCAUCAUGAUUGUCUUCUACCUAGAAUAUCUUACACAUGAGAGAAGUUACAUCUCUAAUUGAUAUCCUCUUUUCUUUCAUGUCCACCAUUGCAUUUCGUUUUUAUUUUCUCGGUGGUUUCGUGAAAGGUUGAGUGCGGAUCUUAUAUCCUUGCAUCUUAAUGCACUCAUCGGUGGUGAAGAUUAUUUUUCCUCACACUUGUCUUGAUGAGGGUUUUCCAUUUCAAUUGGUAUCCCUCCUCUUGACAAGGCUAUUAUUUACUAUCUUCACCAUGUGUUGUCACAAGUUUUUGUUUUUAAUUUGCUUAUUAGUAAGCUUGUGAACCAAUUUUCUAGUAGUGUGUGUGUGUGGGAAGGAUAUGUGUUGUACUUUGUGUCUCAUUUCAUCAAGACUAUGGUGAUGCUUAAUGCACAUCCUUAUAUUAGUCUUCUCAAGUGCUUUGCCAUGACUCACUCACAUCAUUUUUGUUGAGCCUACUCUUAAGUUGCCUCUUCUACAUGUUGUUCAAACAUAUGUUUGGUGCAAGUGCUAUGCAUAUUGUCUUAUCUACUUGAUUGCAUUUGUUGUGUUUUUAUUGAUUUUGGGGGAGUCAUGAUCCUAUUUUGUCCACCUGUAUCCAAAUAUAAAUAUUUAAUAGUGCACAAAUCAUGGGGAGCUUCUCUAGUCUUGAUAAAACACUCCUUGCCGAUAUCAUAAUAUAUUUUAUUCAUGCGACUCGAAGGACCAUGUGAUUGGUUCUUUCAAGUGGUAUCUUUUGAUUGCUUGCUUCACUCUUUGGUAUGUCUGUGUGACAUAUCAUCCUUUUUGCAAUCUUUGGAUCCUCAAUAUAGUUUGUCUUCCUCCAACUAUUUAUCUUUGGAUAUGUGUAUUUCAUUGCACUCAUAUUUUGAGAAACACACACUUUUUAGAGGAACACAUAUUAUAUUCGCUUUCUAAGCUUUUCGUCCAUUUUGGCAAUUGAUGCAAUGGGGGAGAAGUCUAGAGAGUUUAGUUUCGAGAAGUUCAGAGAGUUCUUCUUUUGUUGCUUAAGCAUUUUCAUCUCAUACCCAUGCAUUAUUGCUUUUCAUGUGUGUUCUUGGUUUUGCUUAUUUCCUUAUAUAAUCUCUUUUGAAAGUGAUUGUCAUCCAUUACCAAAAUGGGGGAGAUUUUUAGAGCAUAAUUCUCCAUGCGUGAUUUUGGUAAUUGAUGAGAAUCCCUAUGGAUUAAUGGUUUCCUUGAGUUUUAUUUGAAUGGUUUGUCGAGAGUGCACUUCUUUAAGUCCAUCUGUUGGUUUCAAGGAGUUUAUAUGGUGACCAAGGUGGUAUUCAAGGCUUUAUCCAAGGAUUGGUCUUGUGAGAGUUGAGAUUAUUGCAAGCAUGUCUUGAAGAAGAAGAUUGUGUGAGCAUUCAUGUUUAUCUUCAAGACAUCAUGUUUAUGAAGAGAGACGAUAAGAUACAAUGUUGAUCAAGAAUAAGUCAAUGAGUGAUAAAGUGAUCCCAUGGUAUGGUAAGUAUUGUCCAUUACACUUUGUGUACUAACCCAUGGUCUAUGUGACAGUUCUAUGUGGGGUUAGGUAUAUUUCCAUGGGCUUUCAUCAAGAGGAAGAUCUCAUACAACCCAUGGAGGAUGACAUCAAGUGGCUCACCCAUAGUGGAGUAUCGCAAAGAGAUCAUGUUGGAAGCUUGCCGUCCAUUGUGGUGAUAAUGGACUUGUGAAGAUGUGCGGAAGAGUGGCUCACCCAUAGUGGAGUAUGGGGGAGCAAUCAACUAGUAUUCAUCGAACCAAUGUAGUCAAGAAAGGUGGUCCAUCUUGAGGAAGUCAAGAUCGUCAUAACAUAGCCCAAGUGGACUAUGUGCAAGGUAUAGGUUUUCCCUUGAUAUGUUUUGUAUUUUACGUGUCUCAUGGUGUUAGUAGGGAGACCGGGUUAUAGGAUCAAUAGCCGUACUAUCAAGGGGGACUCUGGAGUGAGUAGCUUGACCAUAUCGUUCGUAGGGAGCUGAAAUCAUUGCAUCGUUGGAAUUAUCAUUUCUUGGUUCUUGUUUGGCUUUUCGCUUUGGGAGUUUUGGAGCUUAUGGUCUUUAACGUGAUAAGCCAAGCUCAUCAAAAAUGGUUUUUGUAUGUGUCAUAUUUGUGUUUUCGGUGUUGGAGAUUUUGCCGAAUAAUUCUUGGGAAGGUCAUCUUCCUUAGCCUAUUGGCAUUUAUUCUCCAUCGCUUGAUAGUACUUGUCGUCAUCUAUCCAACAAGCUUUAGUUUGCUCAUUUCGGAGUUCGAAUGCAAAAGUUAUGGCAGUUUCGGUUUUGCUUGGGCUGAAGUACUGCUUUAAGUGGUAGUAGAGAGCGUUAGUACCUCUCAAGCGGUACUUCUGUUGACCAUUACUGCUUCCACUUCUGCUUAUUUUAUUCUGUUGGUGCCCAAUCUGCUUGAGCGGUAGUAGUGGGGUAGUAGAGAGCGGUAGUAGCUCUCAAGCAGCACUACCUCUCCCGUGAGCGAUAGUACCUCUCAAGUGGUACUACCAGUCCCCCGAGCGGCACUAUCUCUCUAGGAGAACUACCACUCGUGUUGUUCUAUCUUGUUGGGCUGUUUUGACCGUGCUAAGCGGUAGUACCGCUCGGGGGUACUACCGCUUGAGUACGACUUGUGGAAAUACGUGUUGGAAUUUGGGAUGCCUAUUUAAAGGGGCCUUCUUCGCCAAUGGUCCCUAACUCUUGAGCUCGUAUUCUUCCCCCAUUGUUGAACUUCUUCGAGCUUGGUAACUCUCAAUCCCUCCAAUGGUUCUUGCUAGUUCUUGAGGAAAAAGAGAGAGGAGAUCUAGAUCUACGUUUCCACCAAUCACUUUCUUCUCUAUGUGAGGGGAACCCCUUGGAUCUAGAUCUUGGAGUUCUUUUUGAGCUCCUUGUUCUUCCUCUCAUAUUCCUCCAUAGAUUUUGUUGUUGUGGAGGAAUUUGAGUGUGAGGUACUUGACCACUUCAUGUGUUCUUGCCAUUGCAUUAGUUGCAUCGGUUUGAGUUCUCCACAGUGAUACGUGGAAGUGAUGUUUUAGAAGCUUAUUAUUCUUGGGUGCUUUGUACCCUAGAGCUUGUUCACCUUGGGUUUUUUGGUGUCCUAGAAGCUUGGUGGUGCCUCAUAGCUCAAUCAUUGUGGUGUAAAGCUCCGGGAAAGCGUAGGGGGUACCCUAUUAGGUUGUGGAGAUUGCCCCGAGCAAUUUGUACGGGUACCGGUGACUGCCCCCAAGGGUUGCCAUUUGUAUAGGUUCGGUGACCGCCCUCAAGGGUCCCUUAGUGGAAUCACGACAUCUUACAUUGUGCGAGGGCGUGAGAAGAUUACGAUGGCCCUAGUGGCCUCUUGGGGAGCAUUGCGCCUCCACACCGCUCCAAAUGGAUAUUAGCAUCCACAAUGGUGUGAACUUCGGGAUAUAUCAUCGUCUCCGCGUGCCUCUGUUAUCUCUUACUCGGACCCAUUACUUAUACACUUUAAUUUGUGAUAGACAUAUUGUUUCUUGUUAUAUAUCUUACCAUCACUUAGUUAUUUAUCUUGCUUACCAAAAGUAGUUCGUGCACAUAGGUGAACAUAGUUGUUUUAGGUUUUGUUCUUGACUAAUUAAACAUUAGUUUUAUUCCACAUUUGUUCAAGCCUCAACUGUAAUUAUUUUAAAGUGCCUAUUCACCCCCCUCUAGGCGACGUCCAAGUCCUUCCAACAUGUUAUGAUCCGCAUCCCCCAGGUGACAAUAAUUGGGAUUCUUUCCGGUGAUUGAUGUAGUAUGAGGAGUUCAUGUAUUCACUAUGUGUUAAUGCCUUAUUCCAGUUCUCCAUUAAAAUGAGGCCUUAAUAUCCCUUAGUUUCCAUUAGGACCCCGUUGCCAUGGGAGGGUAAGACAAAAGAUGUCAUGCAAGUUCUUAUCGCAAGCACGCAUGACUAUAUACAUAAUGCAUGCCUACAUUAUAUUUAUGAAUUGGAGCUAGUUCUGUCUCGCUCUAGUGUGUAGGUGUGACAUGAUGAAUGUCAUCCAUAUCUAUCCGCUGCCGAUCCACGUGCCUAUGCUUUACAUAUACCGAAUCUUGCUAAGUUACUACUACUGCUGCUACUGUCACAACUGCUACAAAAUUACUACUGUUGUUGUUGCUACAAAAUUGAUGUUAACACUGUUACUGUUACUACUAUUACUUUUUGUGCUACUAAAAUCUUCACUUCAAAGAGAUAUCCCAGGUGUGGUUGAAUUGAGAACUCAAGUACUAAGGCCGAUAAAUAUCCUUUGGAUCCCCUUGUGAUGAAUCAACAAAUGAGGCCGAUAAGUACUACCCGCAAAGACUAUUGCGAUCCCCUACAGUUGUAGGUUAUCAAUAUUAUCUUCCACCAAAUAAACCAACUAGCAUCAACUACAAGAUGUAAUCAACACUACUAGUAACCGAGAGGUACCAAUUUUAGGUUUUGAGACAAAUAUUGGAUACAAGAGAUGAACUAGGGUUUGAGAUGAGAUGGUGCUGGUGAAAAUGUUGAUGAAAAUUGAUCUUCCCAGGAAGGAAGAAGAGUUGGUGAUGACAAUGGCUUCUAUUUUCCCCUCACAGAGGGUAGUUUGUCUAGCAGAAUCACUCUACCGAAGAGCAAAAGGGCCUCUGCCCCGGUUUCCGCCCCAAGAUGGUGGAAAAUCAUCCUUAAAGUAUCUUCUUAUUUUUUAGGUCAAAACCCAUCUUAUAGCAGAAGAGGGAGGCCAGGACACCUAGGAGGUGGUCCCAAGCCAUGAGGGCACGCUUGGGGGAGGGUGCGCCCUGUUGACUUGGCACCAACAGGUGUCCCCCUCUGGUAUAUAUUUUUGCUCCAUAAUUACACAUAUAUUCCACAAAAAUUUGUUGUGAAGUUUCAGGUCAUUUGGAGUCGUGUGAAUUAUUAGCCUUUUUCUUGGUUUCCAGGUCCAGAAUUCGAGUUCCUGGCAAUUUCCCUCUUUGUGAUGUACCUUGUGAAUUCAGAGAGAAAAGGCAUAAGAAUUGUAUCAUAAAGUGGAAUAACGACCAAGAAUAACAUAAAUAUCAAUAGGAAAUCAUGAUGUAAAAUAUACGUACCAGCAAUUGAUUGAAAGGCGCAUAGUUAUGCAAUAUUUAUUCACGUCAAUGAUCAUGUAUAUUGGCAUCACGCCAUAAGAAAGUAGACUGAAUCCUUCCUGCAUCUACUAUUAUUACUCCACCCAUCGACCGCUAUCCAACCUGCAUCUAGAGUAUUAAGUAAAAACAAAGUAAUGAUUGGAGGAUGAUGACAUGAUGUAGACAAAGUAAAUCCAAUUAAUAUGAAUAAACCCCAUCGUUUAACCCUUAUUGGCAAUAACACAAUACGUGUCAUGUCCCUUUGUGUCACUGGGAUUGGGCACUGCAAGAUUGAUCCCACUACAACACACCUCUCUCACCAAAGAUAUAUCAAUCCACUUAGCCAAACCUAACCGUUAUAUCAGAGAGAAUCACGAAGUUAUGACAAUCAUGCAUAUAAGAAUUCAAAGAAGACUCAUAUAUUAUUCUUGAAUAAUCUUAACAUAAACCCACAAUUCAUUGGUUCCCAACAAACACAACACAAAGAUGAUUACAUAGGAUAGAUCGCCGUGGGAAUCGCGGCGAUUUUUGCAUUGAAGAACAUAAAGAGAGAUAGCCAUCUAGGUACUAAUUAUGGACCUGUAGGUCUGUGUUGAACUACCUACACAUCACCAUGGGAGAAGCAAGGUUGAUGUAGGGCCCCUCCAUGAUCGAUUCACUGAUACGUCCAUUUUGCAUCAUGUUUAGUUAUUGUUAUUUAUAGUAUUUUUAUGCAUUUUACCACUUGGAGGAGUAAUUCUAAUGCCUUUUCUCCCAUAAUAUGCAAGGUUUACGUCAAGUGGGAGAAUACCAGCAGAUGGAAUUCUGGACCUGAAAAAGCUAUGUCAGAGAUACCUAUCCUGCACACAUCUAAUUGAGCUGAAAUUUUACGGAGAUUUCUUUUAUAAUAAAUAAAAAAAUACUGGAACGAAGAAGUGCCGGAGGUGGGUCACCAGGGCGUGCCAGGGCCCCCUGGCGCAGCCUGAUUUCUAGUGGGCCACCUGGCCCACCUCUGCCGCCCAUCUUCUGGUAUAUAUUCUCCUCCGACGUAAAAAAUUAAGGAGAUGACUUUCGGGACAAAGCGCCGCGGUCUCGAGGCGGAACCCGAGCAGGAGCACUUUAGCCCUCUCGCGGAGCGAUUCUGCCGGAGGAACUUCCCUCCCGAAGGGGGAAAUCGAGGCCAUCGUCAUCACCAACAACCCACUCAUCUUGGGGAGGCUUAUCUUCAUCAACAUCUUCAUCAGUACCAUCUCCUAUCAAAACUCUAGUUCAUCUCUUGUACUCAAUCUUCUACUGAAACCUCGAAUUGGUACCUGAGGUGUGUCUAGUAGUGUUAAUUACAUAUUGUAGUUGAUGCUUUAUGGUUUAUUUGGUGGAAGAUAAUAUNNNNNNNNNNAUACCUAUCUAAUCAUGAACAUGUUUAUCACUUAUGAGUAGUUACUUUUGUUCUUGAGGCCAUGGGAGAAAUCAUGUUGCAAAUAGUCAUGUGAAAUUGAUAUUUGUUCGAUAUUUUGAUGAUAUGAAUGUUGUGAUUCCCUUAGUGGUGUUAUGUGAACAUCGACUACAUAACACUUUACCAUAUUUUGGGCCUAAGGGAAUGCAUUGUGGAUUAGUAAUUAGAGGUUGGGUUGCGAGAGUGACAUAAACUUAAACCCCAGUCUAUGCACUACUUCAUAAGGGGCUGAUUUGAUCCCUAUGUUUAAUGUUAUGGUUAGAAUUUAUUCUUAAUACUUUUCUCGUAGUUGCGGAUGCUUGCGAUAGGGUUAAUCAUAAGUGGGAGGUUUAUUCAAGUAAUAUAAGCACCCAAGCACCGGUCCACCCACAUAUCAAAUUAUCAAAAUACCGAACGAGAAUUAACCCAACAUGAUGAAAGUCAUCGGAUGAAAUUCCCGGGUGCCCUCAAGAACGCUUUGCCUAUUAUAAGAACCUGUUUUGGCCUGUCCUUUGCCUCAAAAGGAUUGGGAUACCUUGCUGCACCUAUUGUUACUAUUGCUACUUGUCACUUUUUUCAGUUAUCUUGCUAUCAAACAACUUGAUACCACUAUUUCAGUGCUUACAAAAAUUACCUUGCUGAAAACCGCUUGUUAUUUUCUUCCGCUCCUCGUUGGGUUCGACACUAUUACUUAUCGAAAGGACUAUGAUUUCCCCCUAUACUUGUGGGUUAUCAAGACUCUUUUUCAGCGCUGUUGCUAGGGAGUGAAGCACCUUUGGUAAGCGGAAUUUGGUAAAGGAAAAUUUAUAUUACGUACUAAAAUUUACUGUUACUCGUCACUAUAGAAAGUAAUCCUUUGAGGGGUUUGUUCGGGGUAUCUUCACCUCGAAUAGAAACACCAAAAGUUGUCGCUCAACCCGCUGCACCUACUGAAAAUGUUUACUAUGAAAUUCCUUCGGGUAUGAUAGAGAAACUGCUAGCUAGUUCUUUUGCACGAGAUGGAACAAAACUUCCCGAUAUGCACCUAAUCUAUGUGGAUGAAGUUUGUGGAUUAUUUAAGCUUGCAGGUUUAUCCGGAGAUGAAGUCAAGAACAUGCUUUUUCAUUUAUCUUUGGGGGUCAAAUCAUAGACAUGGUAUAGGCUAUGUGAUGACACAUGAUCUUGGAACUGGAAUCAACCGCAAUUGGACUUUCACCAAAUUUUUUAUCCUAUGCAUCUUGUUCAUCGUGAUCGGAAUUUUAUCUAUAAUUUCUGGCCUCGUGAAGGAGAAAGCAUCGCUCUAGCUCGGGGCAGGCUGAAGUCAAUGUUAUAUUCAUGCCCCAAUCAUGAGCUCUCGUGAGAAAUUAUUGUUCAAAAUUUUUAUGCUUGGCUUUCUCGUAAUGAUCAAACCAUGCUCGAUACUUCUUGCUCUGGUUCUUUUAUGAGGAAGACUAUUGAAUUCAGGUGGGAUCUUUUGGAAAGAAGUACAACUCUGAAGAUUGGGAUUUCGGCGAAGCUAAAGAGCCAGGUAUAAAACCUAAGUUUGAUUGUGUUAAAUCUUUAAUGGAGACCGAUGCUUUCAAUAAAUUUAGCACUUAGUAUGGACUUGACUCUCAAAUAGUAGCCUCAUUUUGUGAAACCUUUGCUGCUCAUGUUGAUAUCCCUAGAGAGAAGUGGUUUAAAUAUCAUCGACCUAUUAAAGAAAAAAAUUGAAGAACCAAUUGAAGUUGAAGCUGAAACUAUUAUUUAUAAUGUUGACCUAGUUGUGCCUACUGCUUACAUUGAGAAACCACCUUUCUGUGUUAGGAUAAAGGAACAUGCUAAAGCUUUAACUGUGGUUAAUAAAAGUUAUGUUAGAACAACAAAACCUUCUGAGAAAAUUAAUGUAGAACCCAGUAAUGCUAUGGUUAAAGACGACUAGGUAGACAAUAUUGAUGUGCAUGUUAUUUAUUUCCGUAAUGAAGCUGCUAGAAUUGCCAAACCUGAUACUAAAGACAAGAAUAGACCUGUUGUUGGCAUGCAUGUCGUUUCAGUCAAAAUCGGAGAUCAUUGAUACCAUGGUUUAUGUGAUAUGGAUGCUAGUGUUAGUGCUAUCCCUUUUACCUUAUAUCAAGAAAUUAUGCAUGAGAUAGCCCCCGCUGAGAUAAAAGACAUAUAUGUUACUAUUAAACUUGCUAAUAGAGACACCAUCACACCACUUGGGAUUGUUAGAUAUGUUGAAGUCUUGUGUGGAAAAGUAAAAUACCCUACUGAUUUCCUAGUACUUGGCUCACCAGAAGAUAAUUUUUGUCCCAUAAUAUUUGGUAGACCCUUCUUGAACAUUGUUAGUGCUCAAAUAGAUUGCAAAAAGGAAACUGUUAGUGGUAAUUUUGGUGGUACGUCUCAUGAGUUCCAUUUCUCCAAGUUUAGCAAACAACACCAUGAAAAGAAUUGCCUAGUAAAGAUGACGUAAUUGGUGUUGCUCCUAUUGCCAUUCCUCCUAUGGAUCCAUUAUAAUAUCAUUUGCUAGACCAUGAAAAUGGUAUGCAUAUGCAUGAAAGAAAUGAAAUAGAUAAUAUGUUCUUUGAGCAAAAACCUAUCCUUAAACACAACUUGCGUGUUGAAACUCUAGGAGGUCCUCCUCCACCCAAGGUUGAUCCUGUGUUUGGAUUAAAGCAAUUACCAGACACACUGAAAUAUGCUUAUCUUGAUGAAAAGAAGAUAUGUCCUGUUAUUAUGAGUGCUAACCUUAUAGAGCAUGAAGAAGAAAGAUUAUUAGAAACUUUAAGGAAGCACCUAGCUGCUAUUGGGUAUACUAUUGAUGAUCUUAAGGGCAUUAGUCUCACUCUCUAUCAACACGAGAUUAAUAUGCAACUAGAUGCUAAACCCGUUGUUGAUCACCAACGAAGACUAAAUACCAAAACGAAAGAAGUGGAAUGAAAUAUUAAAGCUUCUGGAAGAAGGUAUACAUUAUCCCAUAACUGAUAGUAGAUGGAUGAGUCCAUUUCAUUGUGUCCCUAAGAAAGGAGGUAUAACUGUUGUUCCUAAUGAUAGAAAUGAAAUCAUUCCACAAAGAAUUGUGACUGGCUAUAGAAUGGCAAUUGACUUUAGAAAACUAAACAAAGCUAGUGGAAAAGAUCAUCAUCCUUUUCCGUUCAUAUACCAAAUGCUAGAAAGAUUAUCGAAGCACACAUAUUUUUGCUUUCUAGAUGUUUAUUCUCGUUUUUCUCAAAUACGUGUUGAAAGGAUCGAUAUGGUUGACUAGAGGGGGGGGGGGUGAAUAGGUGACUCACAAAAUUUAAUCUUUUCUUUUAGCAAAUUAAGUUUAGCAACAAAUAGGUUGUCUAGAUAUGAAACUAAGUGAGCAACCUAUAUGAUGCUAAGAACAACAGUAAGCAAGAAGUAAAUACAAGUGAAGGUAAGAAAUAACCACAAGUCGAACCGAUGAGGACGAUGAUGUGUUUCGGAAGUUCCUUCCUUUUGAGGGGAAGUACAUCUUUGUUGGAGCGGUGUGGAGGCAAAAUGCUCCCCAAGAUGCCACUAAGGCCACCGUAUUCUCCUCACGCCCUCACACGAUGCGAGGUGCCAUGAUUCCACUGAGUGGUGUCCUUGAAGGCGGCGAGCGGAUCUUUACAAACAAGGUUUGGGCAAUCUCCACAACCUAAUUGGAGGAUCCCAACGAGACGCGAAGCUUCACCACAAUGGAAUAUUGCUUCGAGGUGACCUAUUCCGUCUAGGGUGCUCAAACACCUAAGAGUAACAAGAUCCGCGAGGGAUUAAUGGGGGGAAUAACUUUUCUCUUAGUGGAAGUGAGGGGGAAGGCCUUCUCCUACAAACCCUAGAGAAUCAACAAGAGUUGAUGGCUAGGGAGGGAGAUUGGGCAAGUUUGAACUUUGGAAUAACAAUGGAGCUUCUUGUUGGAAAUAUGCCCUAGAGGCAAUAAUAAAUUAGUUAUUAUUAUAUUUCUUAGUUCAUGAUAAUCGUUUAUUAUCCAUGCUAUAAUUGUAUUGAUUGGAAACACAAUACUUGUGUGGAUACAUAGACAAAACACUGUCCCUAGUAAGCCUCUAGUUUACUAGCUCGUUGAUCAAAGAUGGUCAAGGUUUCCUGGCCAUAGGCAAGUGUUGUCACUUGAUAACGGGAUCACAUCAUUAGGAGAAUCAUGUGAUGGACUAGACCCAANNNNNNNNNNNNNNNNNNNNNNNNNNNNNNNNNNNNNNNNNNNNNNNNNNNNNNNNNNNNNNNNNNNNNNNNNNNNNNNNNNNNNNNNNNNNNNNNNNNNCCUCCCUCCCUCCCUCUCUCCCUCUCCCUCUCCCUCUCCCUCCCUCUCUCCCUCCCUCUCUCUCUGCAGCUACGGGCGGCGGAGGCACAAAGCGCAAAGCUGCAGCGUGCAGGGUGAGAGAGAAUCUAACCAUGUGAUACCAUGUUAGGAAUGAGCAACUAGCAUUCAUAGGAGGCCAAGGACGACUAUAUAUACAUAUGAGAAAAAGGCAAGAAAUCUCUUAUAUAAUAAGAAUAUAAAAUAAAUGAAUUAUACACAUCUUACACAAACACAAACGACAUGAGAUCCAAGAGCACAAGCUCUACACGCCCUAGACCCGAGAUGCAUGGAUCUGUCGCAACCUGAAAAUCGAAUUUCGCCUCCUCUUUUCAGCAAUCAAAUUGAGUCGCCGACAAGCGCGCUUGGAGGCUCUAUACAUGAUAGCCCUUCCACCACCUUGACCCAAUUCGUGUACGAUGUGACUAUAUUGAUGAAUAGGGGUGUAGCAUUUUGCCGGUGCCACGCACAUGCGCUCGAUCAAAACGGGCUGACGUGCCACCGGCUCAUCAUCCGUGCCUACCAGCACGACAAAAUUAAGCUGCAAAGAUACAAAUACUUAGUACAAAACUGAACGAAGAUAAGGCAUGGUGACUAGCACCAUCACCAUGCGAUGCGAGAUUCAGUCGACAGAUUAGCCGAAUUUGUUCGUUUGUCUCUUCCGGGGUCUAGAAGCUUCAUGGAAGCGGCCAGCGCCGUCCAUCUAGAUCCAGGGGCACGCGUCACCGUUCGGUCUCUACUACCGUACGUACAACGCUGACGAUCGAUCGACGUGUAAUUUUAUCAGUGUGGAUGGCCGAAUCACCGAGACACGCCGAUGGAGAGACGGCCGGAGAUUCAAUCAUGCAUGCUCCGUCCGUAGAAAAGGGUGCGAAUGAAGGAAUAAAGGCGAGACGUGGUGGCUAUACACCCGUCACCGUGUUGUGUUUCCUGAUCCAUCUAUAGGAGUAGUAUAUUUUGUGUGAUUGUGUCUGCAAGAAUCUCACACGAUCGAGCAAGCGAGUGACACGAGUCACGCCACGACGAAAAGCGGAAUGCGGCGCCGACGUGUGAUCAAGCAAACUGGCCUCGAGAUCCAUUUCCGCCCACUCAGGAUUCAUAGAUCCCAUGUAUGUUUUGUCCUUGGUCAUAUGCAUACUAUUAUCUCUGUAUCAUAACAUAUGACGUUUUAGCAGUUCAAUAAUACGGAGGGAGUAGUUUUCACGUGCCGAUGAAUCAACUGGUAUGUGGAAUGGGUUGGUUGUGCUGACGUUUACUUGCAGGUCCAACGGCAAACUCCUUGAGAAUCCCAUCCUUGCUUAGCCCCCACGAGUCCAUGUAUAUAUAUAGAUUCAGGCCGUGCAGCGCCGCGAGCCUCUUCAGGCUGUUGCUGGUGGUGCGGGAUGUUUUGGGACGAUGAAAUGUCCAAAUUUUUGCAGUUCAUGUAGAGUAAAAUUUCAUCAACCAUAAACCCCAUCGUUCAACAACAAAAUGCAUAGUAUGUAAUUUACUAGAACAUCACAGCAGACUUCAGGACUUCAACUACUCCAAUUUUGUCUAUUCAUCACAUUUAAUUUCUGCAUAAUAACACCUCACUGAAUCUUUCUCUUGCCAAUAAAGGCUUAUUUUUUAUAUAGUAUAAUUUUGAAAAGGAGGAUCAACCCAGUCUCCGUUUAUCCAUGAAAUUAUUUAUGAAUAUAUUCAUCAUACAGUUACAACUCAUACCUCGAAAACAAGUGCAAACCACGAGAGCAAACAACAUAUCUCAUGCAUUGAUCGUCCAGUAAGAUAAAAUAUCCGCAGCGGACACGGGUACAAUUCAACAUUAAUAUAGCCAGCCUUUAUAUCAAUUUUUGCCUUGUAAAAGGAUGUGUAUAUAUACGAACGCACAAGUCACACAAUGCAUGCAGUUCUCCCCUUGCUUGGUUUCUGAGCUAUUGGCACAUACCUAGCCUUAGCAAAUUCCCGAUGGUUAUAAACUGGACAGGCAUAUAUAGGAGUACAUUGGGCAUGGGCGGCCUUGGGAACUCAACUUUUAGCAACACCUGAACAGCUGGCUCAACCGAUUUGGACCCGGGGAGGGUCGGAGCUCCUGCUCCGGCUAGGUGGAGUUGGGCGUGGUCCGGGGAACGCUUACAGGUCAUGGUCUCCUCGCGGGUGCGGUAUGCGUCGGCGGUUGUUGGGAUACUGGUAGACGGUAGGCUGGUCCGGCGUCCGUGACAACAUGCAUGCCGUUGUGUGAGCUUGCUUGGCAAUGACCGUCGGUAGCCACGGGGCCGUGUCCCCUCCCGGUGCACCAUGAUUGGCUGGGGAUGCAGGUAUGGACGCCUCCUACAGUGGAGGUGUCGACCCAGGCUCUGAGACUGAUGAUGGGCUACGACUGAAAGGAGGCCCCUUUCACUCCUUUUGCCGUGGCUGGGACGCUGGAGAUCGUUGGCGUUUCUCGGACCUGGAUGCCGGGGCGUCAACUCCGGGUGAGGCUUCACAUAAGGGUGGCUCUCCGGCGGGUCCCAUGGUGGUGGUGGUGGUGGCGGUGGCUACCCCUCUUGGUUAUGUGGGCGGUAAGAGGUGUAGCGAUGGGUGGCUGUGGCGGUCGUUAUGUCUUGGCGGUGACGACGCCCCAAUCCGGACCUAAGGAGCUGGUCUCAUCGCGCUUGUCCUGAAGACCUCUUGGUGGCACGGGGAGCUACUAAGUCAAAGCUCCGCGCUUUGGCACCAACGAUAGCGACGCUCUCGAGCGCCGCUCUCUUUCCGAAGACGUUGUCGAGGUGCUCCUAUCCCUGUGAUAGUUUCGGGUGAAGACCCUUAUCCGCUCCGGACUUGGCACGGUCAUGUUGUGCGUCGUUUUCUCUCUUGAGGGCGUUGUUGUGGAGCUUAGUUGUGUUAGGGCGUAGAGCGGCGAUGUUCUUAGUUCUUCCUAUGUACUUUUUCGGUUGCGUUAUGUGUGAUCUGUUUAUUUCAGGAUAGGAGUCGCAUCAUCAGCGUGUAUCAUCCAUCUGUGUACAUUAUUCUGAUGUUGCUUUAUAUAUAAAAUGUGAUGAAAGCGUGUUUCAAGACUUGAUGUGUAUAUAUAGAUUCAGCCCAUGCAGCGUCGCCAGCCUCUUUCAGGCUGCUGGUGGUGUUGUGGGAUGUUUCCGGGCGACGAUAUGUUCAAAUUUUUGCAGUCCAUAUAGAGUAAAAUUUCAGCAACCACAACCCCCACCGUUCAACAACAAUAGUACAUAUGUACUCCCUCCGUUCCAAAAUAUAAGACCUUUUAGGAAUUUCACUAGGAGACUACAUACGAAGCAAAAUGAGUGAAUCUAUACUCUAAAAUAUGUCUAUGUACAUCCGUAUGUAGUUUAUAGUACAAUCUCUAAAAGGUCUUAUAUUUACGAACGGAGGGAGUAAUUAAGUAGAACAUCACAAGCAGACUUCAGGACUUCAACUACUAUUUUUGCUGUUCAUCAGAUUUAAUUUCUGCAUAAUGGCACCUCACUAGAUCUUUUAUCUCUUGCCAAUAAAAGCUUACUUUUUUAUAGCAUACUUCUGAAAGGGAGGAUCGAUCCAUGUCUCCGUAUAAACCUGUCAUGCAAUCAUUUAUGAAUUUAUUCAACAUACAAUUACAACUCAUAACUCGAAAACAAGUGCAAAGCACUAGAUCAAACAACAUAUCUCAUGCAUUGGUCGUCCAGUAAGAUAAAAUCUUCACAAAAAACACCGAUACAAUUCAAGAUUAAUAUUGCUAGCGUUUAUAUCUGUUUAUGCCUGGUAAAAGGAUGUUUAUAUAUACGCAUGCACAAGUCACACAAUGCAUGCAACCCCCCUCGCCUGUUUUUUGAGCUAUUGUCACAUACCUAACCUUAGCAAAUUCUAGGUAGUCAUGAACUGGGCACGCAUAUACAUGAGUACAUUGGGCAUGGGCGGCCUUGGGAACUCAACUUUUAGUAACACAUGUACAGCUGGUUCUACUGAUAUCUGUAGCUCAACCUUAGCUACUUGUCAUGUUUUGAUUUUUCUUUUUGUCCAUAUUCAUUGAUAGGAUCAAGCUUUCCGGCCAUGUUCAGUGAUAGGACCAAGAAAGAAGCACGUGAGAACUAGUCUAUCACUGCAAGAAUAUUAGGUGAUCAAACCUACAUGGCCGUGACACGACAAGGCGCAUAGCAUGGUUCCGACGUGAAGUUCCCUCUAGCGAUACACCUACCUGCAGAAUGAUGCAAUGUAACAAAGUUGUAACAUAUAGGUUUUGUGACUGACUCAUGUUCGUGGUGCAAAUGGGCAAACCUUUGACUCUUUCUUCACUGGAUUAUCUUAGUUGCUUAACUUCAUUGAUCAGCAAAGACAAUACCCUCGACCGGUUCAUCUUGUCCGUGUUGGACUACUAAGCAACGCAAAUGCAUGUUGUUUAGGUGUUGGUCAAGGUGGAAUGAACCAGUGACACUAAGCACUAACCAAGUUGGCCACAAAGCAUAGCCAAGACCAUAGUCAUUAACGACAAUAGUAAUCCGAAAACUGAAAGGAAGCAAACAAAUGGCGCUUUUUCAUCUCCUGAAAACACAUCGUUUUUAUAUCACUUCAUGUUUUCGUGCUACUGCUAGUGGAUCAAUGACACAGUUAAAUUCUAUACCGGUCGAGGGCUAGCUCCAUCUUUGCAAUUGGAAUUUUCUAAGAAUAGUAUGUAGUCUUAGAUGUUGUAUCAGAAUAUGAAGGUACUUCAAUGUAUGGUUUGAUCAUUAUGGGAGACAGAUAUGUCAUCUAAGGAUGACAUUACUUGCUCCGUUUCUUGGAAUAAAUCCUUUACCUCUUGAUCCUUUCCUAGAGCAGUGCAUAUCUAGCUAUCCGACUUAUGGAUACACAUCGUAUUACCUCUUGAUCUUGCAAGUUAACACAUCAUAUCUCUUACAUAGACCAUUUUCCAUUCCACAUGGCAAGUGAACCAACUCUUUUGCAAAUUUGACCGAAUGAUACUCUAGAAUAUAUAUGUUGUUUAUGCAAACUAUUUGAUGGGCCAAAAGUGGAAGGGGUAGUGAGCUUCUUGGGAAUGCAAUCCUUUACCUAUUUCCCUACAACUACAUGUGCUUUAGGUCGUGCAGCGUCCUGAGCCUCUUCAAGCCGUUCAGGCAAACACUGUUGUUUCGAGGUGACGAGAUGUUUGUUAUUUUUGGUGGUGGUAAAAUUUUCCGCGGUCGGUGUGUAUUAAAGGUUUCACCAACCACAAACAUCAUCGUUCAACAAUAAAGUACAACUAAAUUUUAUCACAAGAUCGUAAGUAGACUUGACUAGCUCAAUUGCAAUUGAUCCUGUUUCAGGUACAAUUUGUACUAUUGAUGUUGAAUAAAUUUUACUCAUGCAUAACAAUGAAACCUCAUCAAAUCUUUUAUUCCUCAACAACAAAGGCCUUUGAGCAUAUUCUCUAAAAAGGAGGAUCACUCUCGGCCUCUAUAUAUCAGUUGACAAUUAGUGCAUGCAAUCAUUUAAUUUGUUCAUCAUCUGAUCAAUACAACAAGUUCAUAUGAGUAGUGCUCCUGUUCUUCUCUUGAAUGGCGUUCUUGCUCUGCUUUACCGGCUGCCCAUCCGACCAUGUUUCCUAAAUGUCCUUCCAUGCAUGUGCAUGUCAGGGUUGAGGAGAGAGAGGGGAUGUACGAACGUCUGAUAUUGUGACUUUGGAUAGGCUAUACGGAUGUUCAUACACUCACAAAGCCAGAAGCGUUCUCACACACUUGAGAGUUAGCAUUGGAUGUCAAAAAGUGUCCAGACUCUGGCAAAAGACAUAUAUGGUGAUUUGAGGGUCUGCGUCAGAGAUGCACAUACAGACUGCUUUGAACGUUGAACAUCAACGAUUGAUAUUCGGUUGUGGCGUAGACCAUAUACAAAAUGAAUGUGUACAACAGUAUAUAACCUACAAAGGGAAGAUAUUUUCCAUUAAAGCCAUUUGUUUGCGAGCAAAGACACCCAGAUGAUCUUAAACCUAAUAAACAUCAAGGAAAACAAUAGUCGGUACAAUGGGCAGACAACUAAACAUGGAACAACCAGUAAUUGUUCUGCAUUUAAAGACAUACUAUAGACUUCUUUAUGCAGCCUGGCAAAUAUAAAAAAUUACACUCAACCAACAUUAAAGAAUAGAGACACCUAUAAAUGUUCACACCGUACAAGACUUUGAAGACUGAUAAUCAGCCAAUAGCUCUUCUUGAAAGAGAUAUCGAUUGCCAUGAUCUGAAGGGAGCCAAUAGAACUGGGGACACAAACCCUCACUUGCCUUGGUCGGCGCCAGAUCAAAUAUCAUUACGGUAGAAAAAGACCGAAGAACUUUAUUCCAACACGUCAUCAUCACCAUCGCCUCAAAUAUGUCGACAUGGAAACAAAAAUCUAAGCAAAAGAGAAAGAGACGGAUAGCCCCACUCCUCUUGACGUCGACGAGGCUGUCAGACAUGGACAAGAAAUGUGACUGAUACAUCGAUGUGUAAGAAUGUAAGAGCAACUCUAGUAGAGUCGUCAUAACAUAUAUGCCCGAGUGCCACAAUAAUCACAAUUAUGAAUAUUUUUGCCAAAAAUGCACUCUUGCAGAGUCAUUAUUUGACAAGGGAUCACUAUAAUUUAUGAUGCGUCCUCCAUUUCUGGUCUCCCUGUUGCCAUCAUAUUAGGGGUCGCCCUAAUUUUUAGAUCACGCUCUAUAUGACAGUUAUGUACCGCGGGAAAGAAACUUUAGACGGUUUGGAAAUGCUACACUGACAUAAUCAGUCAUAUGUAAUUAACGUAAUGGCCUAGGGCUCACAUUUUUUUGUUGGACGAAAUUAGGGGAGAUGGCCCACACGUUGAAUUGGGGGGGGGGGGGGGNNNNNNNNNNNNNNNNNNNNNNNNNNNNNNNNNNNNNNNNNNNNNNNNNNNNNNNNNNNNNNNNNNNNNNNNNNNNNNNNNNNNNNNNNNNNNNNNNNNNNNNNNNNNNNNNNNNNNNNNNNNNNNNNAAGAAGAAGCAUGUUUACGUUGGUGUAGCUUUUCUGCGAGGUUGAAGGAAAAAAGAACAUCUCAUUGAUGAGUGGGUCUAUGAUUAUUGAGGCAACAAAUAUGACAAUUCUAACUUGACGUUGUGGCUCGGCCUCGACUCUGUUUCAAUUACUCUAACCUGGUACUUCUUGCAUGAGCAACCAUGAACCAAUUCAGACCAAUAAUGCUACAUUUACAAACUACAGUUUGAUACGGAACCAACUUAAAAAAAAAGGAUGACCUUCGGCCUCUGCAUCUGAUAAAUGCAUGUAGUCAUUUUAUUAAUUAUUUAAAAAGAUGUUACAAAAUAAUACAUUAAUAUGUCUGAGGCCAUCAUCUUGAUAACAUCUGUCGCUAUUCCUAUCUAUUGAUGAAAAGGUGUCAAAUGUUCAUACCAAAUACCAAACAUAUAUCGCACCAAAGUCUAAAUGUCCUGACCAAGCGAUAUACCGUGUAUGGGGCCCAAACCGGCCCGACGCACUCUCAUAGAUCAUCACCUGCCUUGUUCCAUCGAUCUAUCAUCAAAGCAGGUACCGAUGCAUCGACCUUGCCCGACCCGUCGUCUACCCCCCCCCCCCCCCCCCCCCNNNNNNNNNNNNNNNNNNNNNNNNNNNNNNNNNNNNNNNNNNNNNNNNNNNNNNNNNNNNNNNNNNNNNNNNNNNNNNNNNNNNNNNNNNNNNNNNNNNNGCGUGGAGGCACGCGGCGGAUAUCGUUAUUUUCUCACCUUCACUGACGAUUUAAGUAGAUAUGGUUAUGUCUACUUGAUGAAGCACAAGUCUGAAACAUUUGAAAAGUUCAAGCAAUUUCAGAGUGAAGUGGAAAAUCAUCGUAACAAGAAGAUCAAGUUCCUACGGUCUGAUCGUGGGGGUGAAUAUCUGAGUUUCGAGUUUGGUACUCACUUAAGACAAUGUGGAAUUGUUUCGCAGUUAACACCGCCUGGAACACCACAGCGUAAUGGUCUGUCCGAACGUCGUAAUCGUACUUUGUUAGAAAUGGUGCGAUCUAUGAUGUCUCUUACUGAUUUGUCGUUAUCGUUUUGGGGUUAUGCAUUAGAAACAGCUGCAUUCACUUUAAAUAGGGCACCGUCGAAAUCCGUUGAGACGGCACCAUACGAACUGUGGUAUGGCAAAAGGCCAAAGUUGUCAUUUCUUAAAGUUUGGGGAUGUGAUGCUUAUGUCAAAAAGCUUCAGCCUGAAAAGCUGGAACCCAAAGCGGAAAAGUGCGUCUUCAUAGGUUACCCAAAAGAGACAGUUGGGUACACCUUCUAUCUCAAAUCCGAGGGCAAAGUGUUUGUUGCUAAGAACGGAACUUUUCUCGAGAAGGAGUUUCUCUCGAGAGAAUUGAGUGGGAGGAAGAUAGAACUUGACGAGGUUGUCGAACCUCUCAUCCCUCUGGAUGGUGGUGCGGGGCAAGGGGAAACCUCUGUCAUUGCGACGCCGGUUGAGGAGGAAGUUAAUGAUGAUGAUCAUGAAACUCCAGUUCAAGUUUCUGCUGAACCACGCAGGUCGACGAGAUCACGCGCUGCUCCAGAGUGGUACGGUAAUCCCGUCUUAUCAAUCAUGUUGUUAGACAACAAUGAACCUGCAAAUUAUGAAGAAGCAAUGGUGGGCCCAGAUUCCAACAAAUGGCUAGAAGCCAUGAAAUCCGAGAUAGGAUCCAUGUAUGAGAACAAAGUGUGGACUUUGGAGAUGCUGCCUGAGGGCCGCAAGGCUAUUCAGAACAAAUGGAUCUUUAAGAAGAAGACGNNNNNNNNNNNNNNNNNNNNNNNNNNNNNNNNNNNNNNNNNNNNNNNNNNNNNNNNNNNNNNNNNNNNNNNNNNNNNNNNNNNNNNNNNNNNNNNNNNNNUAGAACACAGAGGAGGUGACUAUAGUGGAAAGAGGUGGGGGUUGCAACUUUGUAGACUGGGCUCGUAAUCUUAAGCUAAUCUUACAAGCUGGAAAGAAGGAUUAUGUCCUUAAUGCUGCGCUAGGAGAUGAACCACCCGCUACGGCUGAUCAGGAUGUUAAGAACGCUUGGUUAGCGCGUAAGGAGGACUACUCAAUAGUUCAAUGUGCAGUCUUGUAUGGCCUAGAACCGGGACUUCAACAUCGCUUUGAGCGUCAUGGAGCAUUUGAGAUGUUCCAGGAGUUAAAGUUCAUCUUUCAGAAGAACGCCCGGAUCGAGAAGUAUGAGACCUCCGAUAAAUUCUAUGCUUGCAAGAUGGAGGAAAACUCGUCUGUCAGUGAACAUGUGCUCAAAAUGUCUGGGUACUCAAACCGUCUAGCUGAACUGGGGAUUGAACUCCCGCAAGAAGCUAUCACUGACCGAAUCCUUCAAUCGCUGCCGCCAAGCUAUAAAGGCUUUGUGUUGAACUACAACAUGCAAGGGAUGAACAAGUCUCCCGGCGAGUUGUUUGCGAUGCUGAAAGUCGCAGAGUCUGAACUCCGUAAAGAGCAUCAAGUGUUGAUGGUGAGCAAGACCACUAGUUUCAAGAGAAACGGCAAAGGCAAGAAGGGCAAUUCGAAGAAGAGCGGCAAGCCUGUUGCCAAUCCACCGAAGAAACCCAAAGCUGGACCUAAGCNNNNNNNNNNNNNNNNNNNNNNNNNNNNNNNNNNNNNNNNNNNNNNNNNNNNNNNNNNNNNNNNNNNNNNNNNNNNNNNNNNNNNNNNNNNNNNNNNNNNGAAAGAAUUGAGUGGGAGGGUAGUAGAACUUGAUGAGGUUAUUGAACCAUCACUUCAACCAGUGUGUAGCAGGGCGCAGGAAGUUGUUCAUGUGGCGCCUACACCAAUUGAAGUGGAAGCUGAUGAUGAUGAUCAUUGAGCUUCGAAUCAAGUUACUACAAACCUCGUAGGUCGACAAGGUCGCAUACUGCUGCAGAGUAGUACGGUAACCUUGUCUUGGAGGUCAUGUUGUCGAGCAACAGUGAACCUACGAGUUAUGGAGAAAGCGAUGGUGGGCCCAGAUUCCGACAAAUGGCUGGAAGCCCUGAAAUCCGAGAGAGGAUCCAUGUGUGAAAACAAAGUGUAGACUUUGGUAGAACUACUUGAUGGUCAUAGGACUAUUGAGUAAAAAUGGAUCUUUAAAAGAAGACAGACGAUGAUGGUGAUAAGUCACUAUUAAGAAAAGCUCGACUUGUCGCAAAGAUGUUUUCGAUAAGAUCAAACAGUUGACUAUGAUGAGAAUUUCUCACUCGUAGCGAUGCUAAAAGUCUGUUAGAAUUAUGUUAGUUGUUGAUGCAUUAUUUAUGAAAUAUUGCACGUAGGAUGUCAAAACAUUGUUUUCUGGACGGUUUCCUUGAGCAAACAUUGUAUGUGAUACAACCAGAAGGUUUUGUCGAUCCUAAAGAUACUAGCAAGUAUGCAAGCUCCAGUGAUCCUUCAAUGGACUGGUGCAAGCAUCUCGGAGUUGGAAUAUACACUUUGAUGAGAUGAUCAAAGAUUUUGGGUUUGUACAAGGUUUAUGAGAAACUUGUAUUUCCAAAGAAGUGAGUGGGAGCACUAUAGAAUUUCUGAUAGGUAUAUGUGGUUGACAUAUUACUGAUUGNNNNNNNNNNNNNNNNNNNNNNNNNNNNNNNNNNNNNNNNNNNNNNNNNNNNNNNNNNNNNNNNNNNNNNNNNNNNNNNNNNNNNNNNNNNNNNNNNNNNGAACAACUUCACUCGAGGCUCGCUUCUUUAACAUCUUCAUCAUGACCUUUCUUCCACCUUGGCCGCGCCCCUUUACCACCGUCUUCAAAUUCACUCCUCGUAGUAGGGAAUGGAGUGCAUCUGGUUUGCGGUGGGGAAGAUGCUUUCGAUAUUGGUGAAGAUGUUCUACAGCGUGAAGAUGGACUGAGAGCCGCACCAAAACACUUCGCCGACGAGCUUGCGCGCGUCAAACAGGUUGGUGGAGGUGGUCGUGAGAAAUUUGAUGGUGCCGACGCAGUCACGAACCUUGUUGAGGGUAAACAUCACCAGCGAGCCCCAUGGGAGGUGGGCAAAGCUGUCGGUGAGGAAGUCGCGAGCGAGCUCGACGGACCCCCUCCACCUAGAUUGCACCCACACAUGGAGCAUGUUCUCCACGAGGACGCCCAGCGGUUAGCGCAGCUCCUGCAUGGUAGGUGGGUGAAGGAAGGUCAGCGUGUUGUACUGCAUCUUUAGUUGGUUCUGGGGGUUCUUGGAGAGGAUGGAGGGCUCGGUCCCUUGGGUGUUUGAAGUGGAGAUUAUGGACCUCGCUUGGGUGGUGAGUGGGAGAGGAAGAGAGGCGUACAAAUAGGCGUGUGUGUGGUAGAGGAAGAGAGAAGGGUUGUGAAUGAACAGUGCGUGUGCGGGUGUGUAUCCAUGCGCGUGCGUGUGUAUCUAUUACGAUUUUACACUGAAAUGAUGAGGCGUGUGUAUCCGGACGCGUGCGUGCCUCUAAGUCCCUGCGAUGCAUCUGAAUCACUGCUCACAUCUAAAUCAAGCGGUGCAUGGCCACGUCGUUCGCCUCCAGCACAUGCAUGCCCACGUCCUCUCUUCUCGUGCAUACAUGACCACGUCGUGUCGCUUCCCAUGCAUGCAGGCGUGGAAAGGCUGAGACAGGUGAAAGGACGUGGAUGUCGCCUAGAGGGGGGUGAAUAGGCGCUUUAAAAUAAUUACGGUUUAGGCUUGAACAAAUGCGGAAUAGAACUAACGUUUAAUUUGUCAAGCACAAAACCUACAACAACUAGGCUCACCUAUGUGCACCAACAACUUAUGCUAAGCAAGAUAAACAACUAAGUGAUAGCAAGAUAUAUGACAAUAAACAAUAUGGCUAUCACAAAGUAAAGUGCAUAAGUAAAGGGUUCGGGUAAUAGAUAACCGAGGCACGCGGAAACGAUGAUGUAUCCCGAAGUUCACACCCUUGCGGAUGCUAAUCUACGUUGGAGCGGUGUGGAGGCACAAUGCUCCCCAAGAUGCCACUAAGGCCACCGUAAUCUCCUCAUGCUCUCGCACAAUGCAAGAUGCCAUGAUUCCACUAAGGGACCCUUGAGGGCGGUCACCGAACCCGUACAAAUGGCAAACCUUGGGGGCGGUCACCGAUACCCGUACAAAUUGCUAGGGGCAAUCUCCACAACCUAAUUGGAGACCCCCGACGCUUUUUCGGAGCUUUACACCACAAUGAUUGAGCUCCGAGACACCACCAAGCUUCUAGGACACCAAAGCAUCCACGAAGAACAAUAUCUAGGGCACUAAGUACCAAAGGAAAUAAGCUUCUCAAACUUCACUUCCACGUAUCACCGUGGAGAACUCAAACGAUGCAACUAAUGCAAUGGCAAGGGCACACGGAGUGCCCAAGUCCUUCUCUCCCAAAUCCCACCAAAGCAACUAAUGCUAGGGAGGAAAAUGAGAGGAAGAACGAAGAAGAACACGAAGAACUCCAAGAACUAGACCCAAGGGGUUCCCCUCACUUAGAGGAGAAAGUGAUUGGUGGAAAUGUGGAUCUAGAUCUCCUCUCUCUUUUCCCUCAAGAACUAGCAAGAAUUAUUGGAGGGACUGAGAGUAAGCAAGCUCGAAGAAGGUCAACAAUGCGGGAAGAACACGAGCUAAAGAGAUAAGGUUCAAUGGGGAAGAAGACCCCCUUUUAUAGGUGGGGAAAAAUCCAACCGUUAGGCCUCACAACCCGCACAGAGCGGUAAUACCGCUCAUGGAGCGGUACUACCGCUCGGUAGGUUCACCAACCAUGCUCACGCCAAAAAGUAUGCAAAAAAACAGCCCGACGGAGCGGUACUACCGCUCCUGGAGCGGUACUACCGCUAGGGAGAGGUAGUAAAAAAUUACUACCGCUCCUGGGGCGGUACUACCUCUCUGGGGGCGGUACUACCGCUACAGGGGCGGUACUACCGCUACAGGAGCGGUACUACCGCUGGAUACUGAAACUGCUGUAACGUUCGCAUACGGACUCCGAAUUCAAUGAAACCAAGUUUGUUGGAAAGCUAACAACAUGGGCUAACACAAUCUUGAUAGAAAUAUCAAUAAGAAGCAAGUCAUAAAAGUCCCAUAAGAAAAUGGUGAGAACCCUUCUUCGAAUAAGACCGGUAAAAACUCCCAACAUCGAAAACAUCAUAGAAGAUGCAUAUGGACUCCGUUUUCGAUGAACUCGAGCUUGUCAUGAAGAUGAACAUAAGCUCUAAAACUCACAAAUAGAAACACCAAACAAGAACCAAGAAGUAUGAUGCAAGGAUGCAAAUGGUUUGAGCUCUCAACGAACGAUACGAUCAAGCUACUCACUUGAGAUCCCCCCUUGACAGUAUGACAAUCUAUCCUAAAACAGAAAACCUAUCAAGGGCAAACCUAUACCUUGCACCUCGUCCUCUUGAGCUAGAUGACGAUGAUCUUGGCUUCCUCAAGAUGGACCACCUUUCUUUAUUGCGUUAGCUUGAUGAAGACUAGUUGAUUGCUCCCCCAUACACACUAUGGGUGAGCCGCUCUUCAGCAUAUCUUCACAAGUCCAUUGCCACCACAAUGAACGGCAAGCAUCAAGCAUGAUAUAUUCGUGUUGAUCCACUUGAACUUGCACACCGCAAUCUUGANNNNNNNNNNNNNNNNNNNNNNNNNNNNNNNNNNNNNNNNNNNNNNNNNNNNNNNNNNNNNNNNNNNNNNNNNNNNNNNNNNNNNNNNNNNNNNNNNNNNNNNNNNNNNNNNNNNNNNNNNNNNNNNNNNNNNNNNNNNNNNNNNNNUGGAAGCACACCUAACCCCCACAUAGAACUCUCACAAAGACCAUGGGUUAGUACACAAACACGUAAUGGACAAUGCUUACCAUACAAUGGGAUCACUUGAUCCCUCUCGGUACAUCUUGUAUGCUUUGUGUGUUGAUCAUCUUGAUUUACUCUUUGUCUGAGAUCUUGAUCAACCUUGUGUCUUUAUGACCAUUCUUUGGAUAAUACCUUGAAUACCAUCUUGGUCAUCAUAUAAACUCCUUGAACCCAACAGAUGGACUUCAAGAAGUGCCUAUGNNNNNNNNNNNNNNNNNNNNNNNNNNNNNNNNNNNNNNNNNNNNNNNNNNNNNNNNNNNNNNNNNNNNNNNNNNNNNNNNNNNNNNNNNNNNNNNNNNNNCAAGGCCUUGUUUUCAUUGAGAUGAAAUAAGAUAGUAACUUGUUGGAAGUGAUACAUUUUGAUGUAUGCAGUCCAAUGGGUGCUGAGGCACGCAGUGGAUAUCAUUAUGUUCUUACUUCACUGACGAUUUGAGUAGAUACAGGAGUAUUUACUUAAUGAAUCACAAGUCUAAAAUGUUGAAAAGUUCAAUUCUGUUUCAGAGUGAAGUUCGUCGUAACAAGAGGAUAAACUGUCUACGAUAUGACCAUGGAAAUGAAUAUCUGAGUUACGAGUUUUGGUACACAGUUAAGACAAUGUGGAAAUUGUUUCGCAGUUCAUGCCACCUGGAACAUCAUAGUGUGAUGAUGUGUCUGAACGUCAUAGCCACGCACUAUUUGGUAUGGUGCAUACUAUCAUGUCUCUUAUCGAAUUACCACUAUUGUUUAUGGGUUAUGCAUUAGAGACAACUGCACUCACUUUAAAUAGGGCACCGCGUAUUUCCGUUGAGAUGACACAGUAUAGACUGAGGUUUAGAGAAAUCUAAACUGUCGUUUCUUGAAAGUUUGGGGUUUCGACACUUAUGUGAAAAAGUUUCAGUCUGAUAAGCUCGAACCCAAAGCGGAUAAAUGCAUCUUCAUAGGAUAUCCAAAACAGUUGGGUACAUCUCCUAUCUCAGAUCCGAAAGCAAAGUGUUUGUUUCUAGAAACGGAUCCUUUCUCGAGGAAAGGUUUCUCUUGAAAGAAUUGAGUGGGAGGGUAGUAGAACUUGAUGAGGUUAUUGAACCNNNNNNNNNNNNNNNNNNNNNNNNNNNNNNNNNNNNNNNNNNNNNNNNNNNNNNNNNNNNNNNNNNNNNNNNNNNNNNNNNNNNNNNNNNNNNNNNNNNNAGGGGGAGAGGGAGGGAGGGAGGGAGAGAGAGAGAGAGAGUUACUCAUUCUGGUUGUGGUGUAAUUCUUGAUACCGACUUUUGCUCUAUUCAGGAUCUUCGCACCAAGGCUCUUGUUCGUGAUGGCCCUCGACGACGUGAGUCGGAGGGUCUUUUGAAGGUUGACUGGCUUCAUGUUCCUUUCACUGCCAUCACUUCUGUCGGUUCUCAUGCUCUUGAUGCCUCCUCUUCUGCGACCUUCCAGAAGUGGCAUCAUCGACUUGGUCACCUAUGUGACUCCCGCUUGUCGACGUUGGUGCUUCAGGGUAUCUUAGGGUCUGUAUCCGGAGAUGUAUCUUUACCUUAUCCUACUAGUGAGUCAGUAUCCCAACGUCCUUUUGACUUAGUUCAUUCUAAUGUGUGGGGUCCUACUCCCUUUGAUUCGAAAGGAGGCUAUUGCUAUCAUUUUAUGUUUAUUGAUGAUUUCUCUCGCUAUACUUGGCUAUAUUUUAUGAAAUCUUGUAGCGAGGCUCUCUAUAUACAAAAGAUUUGCUACCAUGGUUCACACCCAGUUUUCCAUGCCUAUUCGCACUUUUUGGGUGGACUUCGCUUGAGAGUAUAGCUCCCACAUGUUGCGUGCCUUUCUCGCGGAACAGGGUACUCUUGCCCAGUUCUCAUGUCCUGGUGCCCAUGCUCAGAAUGGCGUUGCAGAACGCAAGCAUCGCCAUCUACUUGAGACGGCUCGUGCGCUGAUGAUCGACGCUUCCCUUCCACACCAUUUUUGGGUUGAGGUUGUCUCGGCAUCCACGUAUCUAAUCAACAUUCAACCAUCGACUGCCUUACAGGGUGGUAUUCCUCACUAGUUGUUCUCCUGACUACUCAACUCUCUGUAUGUUUGGAUGUGUAUGCUAUGUCCUUCUGGCCCCGCGAGAACACACCAAACUGACUGCUCAGAUGGUCGUGUGUGUUUUUCUUGGCUAUAGUGAUGAGCACAAGGCCUAUCGCCGUUAGGAUCCUGUUGGUCGUCGGUUGUGCAUUUUGCGUGAUGUGACUUUCGAUGAGUCUCGUUCUUACUACGCCCGCCCUUCCUCCUCGAGCUUUAGUGUGGAUGAUCUUUCUUUUCUUUUCUUCCCGAGACACCCUCCUAUGUGCCUCCUGUCUCCCCCCUUCUUCCGGCACAUCUCCCUCUUCCUCAUUCACCACCGACAUCACCCUCCCCUCCGUCCUUCUCCCCAUCCUCAUCAUGUGUCUCUCCUUCUCCUCCAUCCUACACCCUACCCUCGGCAUUCGUAUCUCCUUUUCCUCUUCACUACACUCACCGCCCUCGUAGUGAAGAUGAUCCUACUAACGCGCCCUCCACUUCCGAAGUGCUUCCCUUCACGCCUCCCCCGGAUCAUAACCUUAGAUCUCGGCCAUAUCCCUCACCUAGUCGCUAUUCUCCUAAUCGUUAUGGUAUCUCUGUUGUGGUUGAGCCCAAUUCUUACCGGGUUGCCAUGACUCGGCCUGAAUGGCUGCUUGCGAAGGCCGAGGAGCUUGCUGCCCUUGAGCGCAAUGGCACCUGGGAUCUGGUUUCCCUCCCUUCUGGUGUUCGUCCCAUCACCUGCAAGUGGGUCUAUAAGAUUAAGACUCGCUCCGAUAGUUCUCUUGAGCGCUACAAAGCUCGUCGUGUUGCUCGUGGUUUUCAGCAGGAGCAAGGACACGAUUAUGAUGAGACAUUUUCUCUUGUAGCCCACAUGACCACUAUCCGCACUCUGCUUGUUGUGGCUUCUGUUCGUCAUUGGUGUGUGUCUCAACUUGACGCCCAGAACGCUUUUCUUUAUGGUGAGUUGCGCGAGGAGGUUUAUAUGCAGCCAUCACCGGGGUACUAUGCUCCUGAUGGUAUGGUCUACCGACUUCAACGCUCCCUCUAUGGUCUAAAAUAGGCCCCUCACGCCUGGUUUGAGCGUUUCGUCUCUGUGGUGACCGUCGCGAGUUUCUCUCCCAGUGAUCAUGACCCCGCGAUGUUUGUUCACACGUCUCCUUGUGGUCGGACUCUUCUCCUUCUCUAUGUUGAUGACAUGAUCAUCACUGGUGAUGACUUCAGCUACAUUGCCUUUGUUAAGGCCCGCCUUUGUGACCAGUUCCUCAUGUCUGAUCUUGGUCCCCUUCGCUAUUUUCUUGGGAUUGAGAUUUCUUCGACCCCGGAUGGCUUCUUCAUCACCCAGGAAAAUAUAUUCAAGAUCUGCUUGCUCGCUCCGCUCUCGGUGAUGAGCACACUAUUGUGACUCCUAUGGAGUUCAACGUUCAGCUUAGUUCUUAUGACGGUGAUCCUCUCCCUAAUCCCACUCGCUAUCGCCACCUUGUUGGGAGCCUUGUCUAUCUUGUUGUUACGCGUCCUCACAUCUCCUAUCAUAUCCACAUUCUCAGUCAGUUUGUUGCAACCCCCACCUCUUUCCACUAUAGUCACCUCCUCUGUGUUCUACGCUAUCUUCGUGGCACGAUCUCUCAUCACCUUUUCUUUUCCCGUUCCAGCUCCCUCAAGCUCCAGGCCUUCUCUGAUGCUACGUGGGCUAGUGAUCCCUCUGAUUGCCACUCCCUAUCUAACUACUAUAUUUUUCUUGGUCGCUGUCUCAUUGCCUGGAAGACCAAGAAAUAGACUGUAGUUUCUCGGUCGAGUACUGAGGUUGAGUUGCGUGCGAUGGCUAUGCUGACGGCUGAGGUGAUUUGAUUAUCAUGGUUACUUGAGAACUUUGGUGUUCCUGCCACUACAUCGACUCCCUUACUAUCAGACAACACAGGUGCUCUCAGCAUUGCGCGGGACCCGGUGAAGCACGACCUCACCAAGCACAUUGGUGUGGAUGCCCACUUUGUGCGUGCUGCUAUGCAGGAUCACACUCUUGCUCUUCACUAUGUGCCCUGUGAGUUACAUUUGACAGACUUCUUCACGAAGGCACAGAUUCAAGCGCAGCAUGGGUUCUUUCUCUCCAAACUCAGUGUUUGACACACCAUAAGUUUGAGGGGUUGUUAGAUGUGUAUAGUCCAUUUACUGAAUAUGCCCAUUGUAUAAGGGGUUUUUGUCUUUUCUCACAUGUACAUGUACUGACCCUUGGCCCGCCUGAAUGUUAGUUGCUUAUUCCUAACAUUUGCUUUAAAUAUGCUUUUUACUUUACAUGCUACUUAUGUGUUUGAUUACCAGAACUACUAAGUAAUAAUACAGUAGUAUGUAGGUCGAGAAAAAAAUCCAAGUUAGGUUGGAUCGAGUCCUUUGCUUUAGUUGCCUAAUCGUUGUAUCCUUUCUCGGCCUAACUCCACAAAACACUGUGCUAAUAAAUAACCAUAUUAAGUGAGCGGUUCAAGACAAGGAUCGCCUUAUCUCUCAUCGACCAGUUCGACUUUUGCCGUGCAUAUCGAUCUCCAUGCAUCAUAUAUAGCCUCUUUUUGUCUCCAUGGUCGAUCCGCAAAUUAGGUGGAAUUCUAGAAGAGCAUUCAACGCACUAGCUUGUCUUCCCUUUGUUAUUCUAAGUAACGGAUCAUUCUCAGAGAAAGAACAUUUACUCCUGCGUUUUUCAAGUACUCCCUCCAUAUACAAAUAUAAGAUGAAGGUUUCAUAAAACAAAUAUAAGAUUUUCUUUAAGGAAAAACACAAAUAUAAGAUGAUUUGUAUAUUUUAAAUAUGAACUACAUACACAUUGAAUUGAGUGAACGAACACAUUAAAAUGCGUUCAUAUAAAAAUAAAUGGAAGAUAUAUAUUUUUGGACGAAGGGAGUACUAUCUAUUAAGAUACUAUUUAUAUUUCAAGCCUCAUCAGGGACACUGGUUCAUCAGGACCCUGUGUGUUGUUGGUUAAGAGUAAAACACACCUAUUAUAGCCUUAAUGGUCGGACAGUUUUUCCGAUUUUGGAAAGGCCGUAGAACGUUUUGUUUGGUUUAUUUUCCAUUUCACUCUAUCAGUUUUAAUAGUGUUUCCUUUCUUGUUUUUUUCUUCUUCUUUCAUUACCUUUCACCGUUUUUCUUCUUCUUUUUUUCUUUUCCAUAUUUUAUGUCAUGACAAUUUAAAAAUCAUAUACAUUUUCUAAAAUUCACACAUUUUUAAAAAA
rnacentral:lncRNA from 1 species